UAAAUUAAAUAUCUUGAUAUUUUCUAAUAUUCAUCUUUGAAUUAGUAAAUAUGAACUUUUCAGGAUUAAAUGCCUUCAAAGAACUAUGAGUAAUUGCAUAAUUUCAAAAAAAGUUUGAGCUCGAUGCUUAACUGAAAAAGGUUCGAAGUUAAUGUAAUUUUUCAUCUUUGUUUUCUAAAGUUUGAGUGGCUACGUAUACUCAAGGCAGAGUUCAAGGCUGCUAGCAUAAUUUUCUGAUGCAAGAACAAAGAGCAGGUUCAUUGACAGGAUAUUCAAUUUCUCUUAGGACAAGACAUUACAGAAUAAGUUUAGUCAAUUUUUGGUGAUGUAAGCUUCAUGUCUUUGUUGAGUGAAACUUGAGUCUCUCCCUCUUCAUUAUCCUGCAAUAAGUAUAUGAAAAUUAGUUAUGGUAAUAUUUUUGUUAAUUAUUCAUUUAUUUACUUUUGUUUUACAUGUGUAUCUAAAGUCUCCUGAGUUAUUGUUGAGCUUACACCAAUUUUUUUUUUACUUUAAAAGGAUAUAUCCAAAGAAGAAAAAAAAUAGAAUAGACAUGUUGUCAUGAUUUGUUUUACAAUAGAAGAAUGGAAGCUUUUGGUUAUAAAAAUUGUUUUCCACUUUUGUUAGAAAUUAAUUGACUAGAUUGGUGGAUUAUACUGUAGAUCUAUAUAGUUUAAAAAAUGGAUUGCACCAACAUGUUAUGUCUUUUUGUUUCUUUGUUUUUUACUUUUUAUAUUGUUUUGGGAUCAAUUGGGUUUCUUUCUUAAUUAACUAAUGGAUGAAAAGGGAGGGAGGAGAAAAGUUGUGUUCCAUACAUAUAACUUCUCUUACAAAUUUUAACCACUAAUUUUGCAUGGUUUUCUUUUAGAGUAAACUUUUAAUUGCCCCGUUGUGGUGUAGUGCAUUUUUAUUUUACCAUCCUGUGCUUCAAAAGGUUGCACUUUGCCCUCCUAUGAUUCAGUUUUUAGUUUACAAAAAAAAUUUAUUUCAAAUAAGAUGAUAAAGUAUAAAUUUUUCAAAAGCUAAGGGGUGGCAAAAAAUAAAAAUGUCUUAAACCACAUAGUAGUUAGGUGUGACUUUUAAACCACGGAUGAGUGAAGAAUAAGUGAAAUUACGGAGGACGUCCAACUUUUUUAACUCCUAGGGGUCAAAGUGAAAAUAUGCUAUUCCGUUAGUAAGGAUAGAAUUUUUUUAUUUUAUUAUUAUUUUUUUUUACAGUAGCUUAAUAAGAGAGAAAAAAAUAAAAAUUAUUAUUUUACUUCAAUAAUAGCUACCCGCCGCAACGCGCGGGUAUCUGCACUAGUAUUAAUAUAUAUCAUGUGCAUGUAAGAAUUUUUAUUUUUUUCCAAUUAAUUUUAACAAGGUAAAGACAUCUUCGCCUUUUCGGCAAUUUGAAAUAAGUUUUUCAAUUUUAACUUUUUAGUUAAAAACAUUAUUUAUCGAACAUUUUUCAAAACUAUUAAAUUUGAUUAAUUUUUAAAUAAAGCUGUUAGAAUAAUAUAACUAAUAAAAAAUUAAGAAAAAAAUUAAUAAAAAAAUUAUUUUUUAAUAUACAUAAUAUUAUUUUAUAAUUUUUUUAUUUUGUUAUAAUUUUUUAAUUUUAAAAAUUUAAUAAUUAUAUAUUUUAAUUAACUAUUCGCUGCCAAGCAGAGCUGUACUAGUAUUUGAUUAUUCUUUAUGCAUAAAUAAAUAGUUUUAAAAAUCUAAAUUGGAAAAAAGAAAUAUGAUGUAUGUGUAUUUCUCAUAAUCCAUCUAUGGUGUAUCGAGCGCAUCCAAAGUCUAUAUUCACACGUGGCAGCAUACGAUUCGAUCACAUCUUAAGCAAUGUUUGCGGCAAAUGCCGAGAAUUCCAUGGAAAAGUUUAAGUCGGUUAGUACAUUUUAUUAUUUCUUUCAAAAAACAACAUUGAUUUUGCUUGAACCUAGUCCAUCACGUAACAUGUGAACCAUCAAAUAAUAUUUUUUUAAUAAGUAUUUUUCAGGAAUCACUCUUAUUUCUUAACUUCCUUAAUGUUUGAUUAUUUCUUAUGCAUAAAAAUAUAGUUGGAAAGAAGAAAUAUGAUUAAUAAAUAUAUAUUUUAUAAUCGGUCUACGAUGCACCAAGCGUAUUUAAAGUUUCUAUGCACAUAUGGCAGUACUUAUUUCGCUGCAUCAUGUUAUAAGUAAUAAGCUUUUAUAUAUAUAUAUAUACAUAUAUUUAAAAAUAAAAAUAUUUUUUUAUAAUUAUAAUGAAACAUAUAUAACUCUUAAAAAAAAUAUGUGAUUAAUUUGUAACACGACGUCACCGGUAUAUCCGGUGCAAUCUAGAAUUUUUCCUAGGCCACAGCCCAUAAGACAUUGCCGUGUAGGUCAAGUUAAUUAAUAAUUAAUAAAUUAAAUUAAAUAAAUAGAUUGGGUUAGCGCCAUCCUCUAGAGCUCAACACCGCGAUCGUCUCGGUCCUUCGCCACCCUCUCCUCGCUCUCCCUCUCUCUCUCGUCUCCCCUUAUCUCCUCCCAAACCCUAGCGCGAAGACGCGGUGAUCUCCGCCGCUGUCGCGAUCUCCGCACUCGCCGUCGACGGUGCGCGAAGACGCUUCGAAACCCUAGCGCCUUCGCGAUCCCGCGAUCUCCGUCGUCGUGCGGCCGCCGACGCAGUCUCAGGCGGGGAGGCUCCAAAUCCCUUACACUUCGCCGUUGUGUGAUUAUCAGGUAAACAACUUCGUGUUUCUCCCUAGUUUCUCUCUCUCUCUCUCUUUUUUUUCUCAGUGCAAAUCGAGCUCUUUUUCUCAAGGAACUGGUGAUUGGAUCGCUCUAAAAGUGGGAUUGGGAGAUUUUUGCCGAGCCUUUUUGAUCUGGAUAUGUGUUAUUUUGCGUCAUCUUUUGGGGUUUUUUUUUGUUUUCUCAAUUAUUGUGGUUGAUGGGAAUUUGGUGAGCUAAGUUGGGUUUGAUGCGUUUUAUUUGUGCUUAUUUUUGGGAAGUAAAUGGAUUUUUUGGUGGGGUUUUAGCAAAACCCAGAUGCCAGUUUUUUGCUAAAUGAUGAUCCACUUCAAGGGGGAUUUUCGGUGAGUGAUUUGUGAUCACUGAUUAAAAAAGAAAAAGAAAAGAAAAUCUUUUUUAAGAGAUAGUAAUUGGAGGAUGAUGGUGGACUAAUCCUUUACUAAUCCUAUACUAAUCCAUAUUCUCUUCCAUACCACGAAGAUAGAGAUAGAAUUAAUUUAUCCAAUCCUUUACUAAUCCUAUAUUGCGCUAAAUGCAAGACUGGAAUUGUGUGUAUAUAUAUAUAUACACACACAAAAUCCAAUCCUGUUCAAUCCUGUUCUUGUUAUCCUAUCCAAUCCAAUCCAAUCCCACACCCCAAAAAUUGCCCAUAUAGGAAAAGGAUUACGACUCAAUGGAUGGUAGGUUUGAAAUAGGUGACGGGAGAAGAAGUCGAAAUGCCUCUUAUGAAAAUGUACAAAUGCAUCUGGUGUAGGCAAUAAUUUGCCUUCUAAUGAUAAUAUGUACAAGGACUCAACUGAAACUUUUUUAAGAAUUUAGGGAUAGCUGACAUCGAACUUGAAAGGUUGAGGACCAAAUGAAACUUGGCAGGAAGUUUGGGGACUAAGUGUAAUUUACCCAACAAUAAACACAACUGGUAGGACUAUCCAGCAUUUUAGGUUAUUCUAAUUUCUAUGUAACUGUAUUUAUAACUUUACAUAUAUGUUUUAAGGAUUAGAAGCUUAUUACGCAAUUAGAUCUACGAUAGCUAAGUACUUGGAAACGCAUUUGGAAUGCUAGCAAUCUUUUAAUGUAACAAAGAGACUUUAUUAUACAAGAGGUACUCUAUGUUUAAGCAAGACCUCUUUAUUCUGUGUAUAACAAUAAAAAGUAACAACAUUGCUCGCUAAACUACAUUUUCUUAUUUAUAUCAUUAUUAUGAUACACUAGGAAGAGAUGAAAACGUCAGUUUACUAGUUAAAUUGAUAUUUCCAAGACAAGAUGAUAUAAUGGCAGGUUAAAUUUCUAAUUAAUCGGUUAUUAUGAAAUGAGUCCUUUGAGGUCCUUUCAAUGAACUUUUUGUUUGUAUUUUGUUAUGCUUGAUCUCAUUUGAUUUGAGGGUCCAUUUUGAUUGAGGAGUCCUUGCCUAAUGUUGUUGUAUUUUCAUCUAGGCAACUUUGCAAGGUACUUUGCUCAUCAUGUAUGCUACUCAAUGCUCGACCGUCGGAAGUCUUGGAAUAGAUGUUCCACAUCAAGGGGGAAUUUUGGUGAGUGAUUUGUGAUCACUGAUUAAAAAAGAAAAAGAAAAAAUCUUUUUUAAGAGAUAGUAAUUGGAGGAUGAUUGUAGACUAAUCCUUUACUAAUCCUAUACUAAUCCAUAUUCUCUUCCAGAGAUAGAAUUAAUUUAUCCAAUCCUUUACUAAUCCUAUAUUGCACUAAAUGCAAGACUGGAAUUGUGUGUGUGUGUGUAUAUAUAUAUAUAUAUAUAUAUCCAAUCCAAUCGAAUCCUGUUCAAUCCUGUUCUUGUUAUCCUAUCCAAUCCAAUCCCACACCCCAAAAAUUGCCCGUAUAGAAAAAGAUUACGACUCAAUGGAUGGUUGGUUUGAAAUAGGUGACGGGAGAAGAAGUCGAAAUGCCUCUUAAAAAAAUGAAGAUGUACAAAUGCGUCUGGUGUAGGCAAUAAUUUGCCUUCUAAUGAUAAUAUGUACAAGGACUCAAUUGAAACUCUUUUAAAAAUUUAGGGAUCGCUGACAUCGAACUUGAAAGGUUGAGGGCCAAAAUGAAACUUGGCAGGAAGUUUGGGGACUAGUGUUAUUUACCCAACAAUAAACACAACUGGUAGGACUAUCGAGCAUUUUAGGUUAUUCUAAAUUCUAUCUAACUGUAUUUAUAAGUUUACAUAUAUGUUUUAAGGAUUAGAAGCUCCUUUAUUCUGUGUAUAACAAUAAAAAGUAACAACAUUGCUUGCUAAACUACAUUUUCUUAUUUAUAUCAUUAUUAUGAUACACUAGGGAGAGAUGAAUACGUCAGUUUACUAGUUAAAUUGAUAUUCCAAGACAAGAUGAUAUAAUGGAAGGUUAAAUUUCUAAUUAAUCGGUUAUUAUUAAAGGAGUCCUUUUGAGGUCCUUUCAAUGACCUUUUUGUUUGUAUUUUGUUAUGCUUGAUCUCAUUUGACUUGAGGGUCCAUUUUGAUUGAGGAGUUCUUGCCUAAUGUUGUUGUAUUUUCAUCUAGGCAACUUUGCAAGGUACUUUGCUCGUCAUGUAUGCUGCUCAUCGCUCGACCGUCGGACAUCUUAGAAUAAAUCUUCCACCUCGCCGUGUGAAUCGUAGGCCGCCUCCAGUAUAUAUACCUGUGCGUAAUUCAACAGAACCUGUCAAAUUUAGUGGUCUAUGUGCAUCUCACCGAGAGAUAAAAGUUUCAUCAGUGAGAGGUAUUUUUUUUGGGCAUAGAAUGUAUUUCUUCAUGUGAUAUACCUAUGUUUCAUUUCAUGUUUUGCCUACUUUGGAACUCGAUUUACUUUUGUUAAUUAUAUCUAUUCACUCAUAUGGAAUGGUUGGGAAUGAGAAAUUUUAAUACAUCAUUAAGAGAUAUUUUCCUCUUAGGCUUUGAUUGACAAUGCAAUAAUUGGUGUACUUGCUGAUAUAUCUAACAUUAUUUGCAUGAUAGAAUUAAUGGUUAAUUUUCAUUUACCUUAGUGCUGUUGAGACAUUCAGUGGAAAAGUGUCUUUACCAAUAAAACAGUCUUCUGCUCAGGGUUUGCUAAUAACCAAUUAGAAUAGAAUCUUGCCUUGAGGUAAAUGUUUUGAAGAGAAAUUCUUAGUCAUGAGCCCUGCUCCCUAUAUGAUAUGGAUUGAGUAGCUUUAGACGAUGUCCUGUCUUGUCGUCAUAUUUUAGAUAAGAAUGUAGUCGGGAAUCUGCAUCAUAUUGUAUGUUUAUUGGUUGAUAUAGGUUAUAAUUGUAUAAUUGGUUUUGUGUUACACACAUCACAUUCUUUGAGAUAUCACGAUGCCACUGAUGUAGUAUGUUAUUUCUUUCCUAUUGCUAUCUUAUGAUUAAUUAAACGAAAUUAACUCUUUGAAGUAAUCCCGAAUUCCCGAUGCCUCCAUUUUGUUGAGAUAGGCCAUAUAUUUAUGGGCCUCAAGACCCUAAAGUUCCAAUCUGACUGGGAGAAAAAUAAUAGUAGAAAAUAAAGAGUCUCAAUAGUAAUCAUAACCCUACUAGAUCCUAGUACUAAUCCUUACAUUUUGUCAUCAGCAUAAAGAUCAGAUGAGUUUUAUAGUAUACUAAGUUGAUUUAAAUUUUUUUUCAAGUAAAGAAAAUCUAUAGUACUAGAUUUAACUACAAAAAUGUAGAACUAAACUCUUAGGUGUUGUUUGGUUCGCACUAUGUCAGAUCACUAAGGGCUUGUUUGGUUCACGAUUUGUAAUAUUCCGGCAAUCUUUGAUAUUUUCUAUUGAAAAUAUUCAAAUCAUUACCAAUCAACUCAAGUUAGAUAGUUGUAAGAGGUGUUAGUGAAGUAGUGGGUGGUAGGAAUACUGGAUUAUCAUGGGUUAGGAGGUAUUCUCAUUUCCGUGGUCGAUGGGAAUCGUAGUAGUCCAUUAAUGAGAAUAUACUAGUUCUUAACAACCUCCCAAUCCAAGAGGCUUGAUAAGUUAGUAAUAAAUCUGCCAUUCCAAAUAUAAAAUAUACAACAUUCUUGGAGUAUUACAAACCUUGAACCAAUCGGCCCCUAAGAGUUGUUAACAUUUCCAUAAUCUGGAUUACUAGAAUCAGAUUUCUAGGAAUUUACUAUUCCUGUGUUUGGUUAAGGUAGUAAUAUUAUCUCAGAUUACCAGAUAAGACAAUAUCAUCUUUGGUUCCACAAUAAAAUUCAUCAUGGUAAUCUUGCCAUUAUAAUGCAUAUUUCUGAAGUUGCCUCUGCAUUGGAAUGGCUUAAAUAGUGAUAUCCCCCUCGCAAAGUUAUGAUCGAGACAUUGUUUAUUCUUAUAUUACAAAUUUUAAGCAUUACAAAGACAUCAUUUGAACAAAAUAUGCGAAAAUAGAAUAAUGUGUUGAUCAUAAUGCUAAUAUCUAAUAAUUAUGCCAACAUAAAAUAUAAAAAAAUAGAACAUAAUGAAUACCAAAAGAUUCCCAAACAUUUGCAAUCAAUCAGACCAUGCAAGUCUAAACUUAUAACAUGUUACCAAGUAGUAACAAGUCCACAGGGAAAAAACAAGUUCAUGGACAACUAUCUAACACCCAUUCAACAUACUCUUAAUAUCAUUGGGCAACUGAAGUAGUUAGUUUUACUUGGCUUCUAAUAAAGGUGCUGGUGCACAUACGUUGCUUGUUGUUUGACCCAUCGAUCUUAGAAGUUCUUUGUAUAUCUUUAUCCCUCCAUUUGAAAUAUACUUUGUAGCACGAUUUUAAUAUGAAACAUUCAUUAUUGGUCUAUCUACAUUUGACAACAUCUGCCCCUUCAUUCAAAAGAGAAGUCGACAAGUAUUCUUUUAAACUCUUGAAGUCGAUCUAUUUCAUGUUGCGUCCUUCUCAAAUCCUUGGAGAAUAAAGUUCCACUUUCAUCUUCUACUUGACCAAUCGUUCUAGAUCCUAAUUUCCUUACAUGCUAUUUUUUCGUAUAUGUCUGGCUGCGUGGUGGCCAACAAGGUGUCAUAGAGUCAUAAUUCUGUUCAAAACUUUGUGCUUUUGCCAUUCCCUAUAACGUACAUUUUAUCCCACAUUUAAAUGUUCCUUGUGUCUAGAACAUUUUUCCACCAUUAGGAGAAUUGUCUGAAGGAUCUUCCCUCUUCGAGUUGUUUCCUUCCGUCCUAUCAUGAAACUCUUAUUUGUUUAUUCCAUCGAAGUUCAAGAUUUGCAAAGAAACUCCGCCACUUUGCCGACAAUGAUGUGUUCGUCGGUGCCAUGUCCUUAAUACUGGUCCUCGUUCUCUUUUGCUCAGACACUCCUUCAUUACACUAAACAAGACACCCCAUUAAUGUUGGUGCAUCCUUUCCGAAAAGAAGUCCAUCUCAAUGAUUCUAUCCAUCUAAUCACCCACUUGGGAGCUCUAAAGAGAAAAAGUGAAUUGGCUUGGACAGUAUAGAAUUGCUCAACACCAUUCUACCCCCUUGCGAAAGGAGAUUGGUCUUCCAACCUUCGAUCCUCUUGUCAAUGCUAGUAAUAGCCGUCCACCAAUCCUCCUGUUGCCUACUAGCUAGUGGUUGUCUCGAAGAGAGAAUUGCGAACUUUCCAAUCUUAUAUGAUAGAAUUUGUGUUAGUUUGUGAUCUUUACGGGCUUUAUUUUUCAUGUAGAACAACUCUGACUUCUCAUUAUUAAUUUUCAACCUUGAGCCCUAUUCAAAGAUAUCUAAGCUAAAGUGAAGACUUUGCAUAGCUUUUUUUUUUUUUUUUUUCCUUUUUUACUUUGCAAAAGAAAAUUGUGUCAUCCGUAUAAUGUAAAAGGCACACCUUGGUCUCGUCGUUCGGGCCCAGAUCCUGAAUCAAAGUGUUUCUAGUUGCUUCUUUAGUCAUUCUGGCAAGUCCUAUUCCCAAUAAAAAUAAUAAUGGGGAAAAGGGCCCCCUCUUCUCAACUCAAUCUACUUUGUAUGUGUCCUAUUUACCAACAUUGCAACCUUUGCAUGGUGUGUGCACUAUGCUAUCCAACCCUACCAUAUCAGCUUCUAAAAAAAAACAAUCUCACUUGUCGUAAGUUUUCUCAAAGUCAACUUUCACUUUGAUCCCCUCCAGCGCAUUUUUGUUGCACCACCUAACCAAUUUGCCAGCCAUGACAAAGGAGUUAGUGAUAAACUGAUCCUUAAGAAAAGCUGAUUGGGUUGGCGAAAUAAUUCUAUGCAUCACGCCUUCGAGCUUGUUUGCAAAGACUUGAGAUUAUAUUCUGUAUACCAUUGAUGAGACUUUCAGUCUUCGAGCUUGUUUGCAAAGACUUGAGAUUAUAUUCUGUAUACCAUUGAUGAGACUUUCAGUCUGAAGUCGUUUGCCUUGGGGGCUCUUCCUUUCUUCUGUAUAGGGCAGAUAUAUGUGUAGUCGAUUGCACUGGUGUUGGCCUUUCCUUUGUGAAGCUCCUUAAAAAUAUUGAAAAUGUCCUCCUUAACAACUUCUCAGAAUGUUUGGUAAAACAUUUGAGCAAAACCAUUUGGCUCGAGAGCUUUAUUCACCACCCCCCGCAUUGAAAAAUAGUUUUGUUAAUCUCCUCCAUCGAGAAUAGAUCUCGUUUAGGCUGGUAGUGUCUACUUCAAGAAAAAGAUUACUCCAAUCUCCGACUCCACAUUCUCCCAAUCUCGUUGGAGCAAAAACGUCUUUGUACUUUUGAAAAAAAUACUCUCUCUUUUCUUCCUUGCAAAUUAUUCAACCAUAUUCCUCAACCCUUUCCAUUGUGUUAGUGCGCUUCCUUUCGUUUGCUGUUGCGUGAAAAAAUUUAAUGUUACCAUCUCUCUCUUUUAGCCAAUGUUGCUUGGCAUGUGCCCUCCACAACAACUCGUCUUCUAUAAUCUUGGCCAAACCUGAUUUAAGCUCCUCCCUCCUUUCAAUCAGUUCUUGAUUUAAUCCUAGUUGCUCCUCUACUUUAUCGAUCUUCUGAAUUUUGUCCAUCGUGUGCUUCUUCGUUUCCUACCCUAAUUGUCUUAUUCUUGAUUGACAAAAUUUAUAUGCAAAAUACAAUAAAUAAGGCACUUUAAGAAAAUUCUCUAGCCAUCAAUAUCUGAUAAACUUGUAGGAUGGUACACUCAAAUCUUUUUUCAUAUUCUUUCAAUUAAGUAUCCUUGCCUUAUAUUGUUUCGUAACACCCUUGCAGAAUUAUGUAUUUCUUAUGUGCACUAUUAUCAUUAUGCUAUUUGCUUGUAUUAGUACUCGUGGAUAUUAGCUAGUUAAACAUUCUAUCAGUAGGGAUGAAUGUCUUCUAAUAUGCAAGACGUAUGUCGAUACGUUAAUGAUUAGUGUUAGAUAUGAAACUUUUUGCUUGUUUCUUUAAGUAUCUACCUCUCUAGUUACAAGUUAUAGAAUGGACUUUAUUUGCUGCUAUAGAAUGUUACCUUGUUGCUUAUACAAAUCAUUAGUUGUUUUCGGUUCUAUACUCAUGGGCAUGGCGCUUUUCUUGGUUCUUUAGUCAGCACCACUCAUUAACAUGCUAUGAGAUACACUAAAAACUUACUUUCUAUUCCACUAUGUUAGAACCCUAUAAACAGGGAUGAUUUUGGGUUGUUUCGGAACCUCGUGAAGUAAAAAGAAAUUUUUUUUUUUUUUUUUUUUUUUUGUUAUGUCAACUUUGCAGAUGUGUUAAAUUGCACAAAUGCCCUUACAAAGUUGGUAUUUGCCUGUGUACCCUAGAAAACUUUGCUUAUUUGUGGGUAUGUCUUGUUGAGAGUGUAUUGCAAAAGUAUGUACAGUAGCCAAGGUUUUUUGUACCACGCAUUACCAUUCAUUACCAAUUUACCAUGCUAGAUGAUAUGCUACAAACCUUUGUUUUUAUUCUAUUAUUGUAGAACCCUUUACAAACCUUUGUUUUUAUUCUAUUAUUGUAGAACCCUUUUGUAAUAUACUGGACUUUCGCAAAUUAGAAAGAUUGUAGUUUGAGUUGGUGGUUGUGCUAUCUGGUUGUUUCUGGACUAAGUUGGGUUUGGUUUGGCGCAAAACGAGCGCGAAACGGAAUUUGGAAACGAAUUUUGCUAAAACUUAAGUUUCAACGCAAUUCCGGACACCCAAAAUGUGUUGUGGGCGUCUGGAAGUGUGGAGCUGAGAAGGAGUGGUGUUUCGGAGGAUCUAGAUGAUGGGCCACGACGCCCGAAAAUUUCGGGUGGAAAUUUCAGACGCUUGGAAGUUCUGUGAGAGUACAGUCUGAAAGACUUAAGGUCACUGCUAACGUGAUCUUGUGGGCGCCCGAAAGUAUUGUGGAUGCCCAAAUGCUACGGAGAAUUGUAACUGAGUUUGGAGCGGUGAGCAGGUGACUUAUUACUUGAGGACGCUCGAGGGAGUGAUUCGGCUGCCCGAAAGUCUGAAGUGGCAUUGCAAUUAGGUUCUGGACGCUUGAAUGAAACUCUGGGCAUCCGAAACCGUCGGACUAAUGAGGUAUCAGUCACUUGAAAGUGGCUUCGGGCACCCGGUAUAUGUUUCGGUCUAAGUGUCUGUUUGCUGUUUUGCUGGAAGUUUGAGAACUUACAAUGCUAUUGUCACAGGCUAUAAAUAGGCCAUUACUAGUGGCUCCUCCAUCCGCCUGCUGAAAGAAAGCAAAUUUUUUCUUCUAUUUUCCUUUCUUUUCCUCCUUAACAAAGUUUUAGAUCCAUGUUUGGAGGGCCAUAAGUUAAUUAUUUUCUUGUUGGUGAUUCUUGUUGAGGUGUAGCUCUGGAGAUAGCUACGGAUUGAGGAGAGAAGCCGUGGGAAGAUAUUUGGUGAUAAUCUGUACAAUCUAUUUGGGUGAUAAGGUGAGAAAUACUAUGUAAAAUAAAAGUGAUAAUUUGAAGGGCAUUUGAGGUGUAUGAAUUAUAGUUUUGAUUCAGGAGCUUAGGUGGAGCUGAUCUUCUGGUGUGUGUUGUGGUGUUGUGGAGUAGUGUUGUACGCACUUCUCUUGAAGCUUGACUAGGUGGGCAUCUUGUGGCAGAAAUCAGCGUACUAACUAUUAUGUCUAUGAUUGUAUAUUGCAUAUCCUAUUUGAUAUUAGUUGAUCCUAUACAUUAAUUGAUCUGAGGAGUGCACAUGAUAUGUGUUGUCAUGGUGAACGUGAUACAAAAGGAUGUAUUGAUCUAAGUAGUUACCAGAUAGGUACUUUUGAGAGCUUAGUACCAGUGCCGUGACAUAGCCUAUACAUUGUGAACUACAUUGUAUUGUGAAACCUAUAGAAAGGUAACUUGGGAUUAUUGGACAUGGGUUCCUGUGACUCAAUAAUGCCAUGGGGCAAGAAAAUUUUGGAAAAAUAUGAAAGUGCCAAACGACAGAUAAACUGUGAAAAAAGAAAGUAAAAUGUAAUUUAAAAGUGCUAAAGGGCAAGUAAACAGUGUGAUCAUGAUCUUGUUGAUCAUUGUAGUGUGUUUAAAAAAGCGCGCCUUAGGUAUGUGGCUAGGCGCCUAGGCGCUAGGCUUAUUGGCCAGCACCUGGGCAGCCCCUAGGCAGGCGCGCCUUCUUCAUAUCUAUCCUAACAAGUUUGGAUUUAGAUCUAUAUGCUCUAAUAGGUUUGGAUCUAUAUAUUUAUUUGUCUAUUGGGUUGAAACAUAUAAAAAUAAAUCUGAAUCCCAAACUAACAUAAUUUAAAACACUAAACAAUCAUCAAUUGACAAAUCUUUAGGAGGAGGGGAGUAUUCUUCAUCAGGUGAUGAAGAUGAUGAUUGAUGAUUGAGGAAUGAGGACUAUUUAACAUUUCUAGUAUGAUGUAUUUUGGUUUGGAGCCUUUGAAUACUUAGCUCUCAUAUGACGUCCUUUUAAUGAUUUUUGGCUUGAAACUUUAAACUUUUAUGCUUGUUAUUUUUUUUAUGAUCUUGUGCUUAUAAUUAUAUAUUUUUCAAAUCAAAGUUUCCUAUAUAUAUUUGUGAAUUACUAGUUACCUUUAUGCUGGACUUUAUUUGGAGACAAAAACGUAAUUUGUUCUUUACUUUUAAUUGUGUUAUUUUGUUUUUUUAACAAUUAUCAUAUAUGUUGCUUGGCUUUCUUUUCUUUAUUUUUUUUCUUUCGAAAAUGUGAUUAUUUGGUUAGUUAUAGAAUAUUUAUUGUGAUAAUAUGAUUUUAAAGAGCAUUUAGUUCUACUAAAUAAUUAUUAGAAAGUAUAGUAAAGAACUUCUUGGUUAUUUCAAAAUUUUAUGAAAGUGUGCGUUUAACCUCUCUUAGGCGCGCACCUGCGCCUUGCUCCUAGGCUCAAGCAGUCCUUUGCGCCUAGGUGCGCCUUGGGCUUUUUUAAACCCCGAUUGCACACGGCUAUAGUUUGCAAGAGCCGAAUUGGACUUAAUGACAGAUGUGGUACUUUUUACUCGGUUGGGGUAGCGCCCUGUGAGUAGGUCCUUCGGAGGUGUAGCCUUAUGAGACAGUUUGCCACAUUUUCCUACAUGAGAGCGGACCACAACACCGAGGGUGAUAAGGGUUUGACAGUAGCUGUGGCAUAGGCUUGACCAGACUUGUGAGUCGGUCGAUGUGACUGGUGAUAUGAUAGUUGUUAUUAUCAGUUAUCUCACUUGAUGCAUAUGAGAUAUGAUGUACAUUUUCCAGUAUCUGUUCAUAGGGGCAUCGUAGCAGUUGUUUAUUUUUAGGUUAGUAUACUAUGUGAUCAUUUAUUCAUUUCAACUUUUACUAUUAAUUUCUUUGGUAGAUCUAGUAGUGUAGGUCAUCGUUGACUGGACCCACUGGGAACUAUUUUGCAAUAGUUUUCACGCUCUUCGAUGGUUGUUUUUUUCUCAAAGUCCGUGUCAGCAGGUGAUCGAAGUAAGGGGGUUGCGAGCUCGAUAGCAUCUCCUACCUAGGGGUGUCAAACGGGCCGGGCGGCCUGCCCGGCCCGGCCCGGCCAGUUAAAUCGGGCCGUGCUGGGCCUUGCUCCCGCGACCCAAUGGCCCGGCAGGGUCUGCACCAACUCCCAAUGCUUUGGGAGGCACCAACUCCCAAUGAGUUGAGUUGUGGCCUGUGGCUUUGGGACUCCCAACAGUCAAAGAUUGGGUUGUGGCUUUGGGAGUUGGGCUUGGACUAAAAUGCCCUUCCCAACAGUNUUUUAAAUAAUUUAAUUUAAAAUUUAAAAUUUUAAUAUUUUUAUAAAUAUAUUUUAAUUUUUUUUACUUAUAUAUUAUUUUUAAAAAAAUUAAUAUUAAUAUUUUUAUUUUUCAAAAAAUUUAAAUAUUUUUAAAUAAAAUUAAUAAAAUAAAAAAGGGCUGGCCCGAAGCCCGGCCUGGCCCGGCACGGCCCGUGCAAUCCGGGCCGGAGGGCCGUGCUGGGCCGGGUUCCAAAAACUUUGGCCCGGCACGGCACGGCCCGAUUUUGGGGCCGGGCCGUGCCGGGCUGGCCUGGGGCCCGUUUCGGCCCGGAAAAUGUGGGCACGGCCCACAUUACAUCCCUACUCCUACCUUGGAUGUGUGCUAGAGGAGGACCAUACCCUGAUGUGAUGGCUAGCUGUACAUAUGAUAUUUUGGAGAGAGACAUCUGUUGUGUAUUAUUGUGGUUAUGUUGUUGGGAUAUGUACAGUUGUAGCGAUAGUUGUAUUCCUGUAUGGUAGCACUUAAGACUUUGAUACAUAUUUUUAUAUGCAUACACUCCUUGUACCUGAUUUGGACAGGGGGUUUGAAUACGUUCCGUGCGUAUGGGGUGCGUCUUCGUACAUAUGGGGAGUCUGUUAACAUAAUCUGGGUGCUUCCGCUGUAAUACUGUGUGUGAUAGAUUAAGUUGGUAUGCCUAGGAAAGUGAUCGGUGGAUUUAGGAAACUCUAGACUUUUGGUAGAACCUAAGGAUGUCAGAUGUGAGUGACUUGUAGCGAAAGUCGAUAAAUUGGGUUAUAUGAAAUAUUCAGAAGUGUAUUAAAGAGUAAUUGAAGGUGAUGUAUCUUCUUCUUCCAGAUAACUAUGUUGGAUUCAAACAACGUAGUGUUGUAGAGGAAAAAGGGGAUGCUUUCUAGACUUUUGCUUGAUUGGGUCGAGUCGUGUUAGUAUUGGUGUACUAAAUGUUGUUUUGUUCUAUGUGAUCGGGAUGACGCGGCAUCCGUGACCACGGACAAGAGCCACUAUGGCACAGCUUGAGAAGUAGGAUCAGGCAAGGUUUCCGGGAUGUGAGAGCUUUUCGAGCAGAUGGUCGAGAUAGUAGGGCCAAUAGGGAGGUAGGCUGAGGCUUCCUAGCCUUAGGAGUAGCAUUCGCUUUUGUUGACUACUCAUAAGAGAGCACAAGUGUCGGCUACGCCAAUCACUACAAGUCCUCCACCAAAAGGUAAUGCCGCUGCUAUGCCUACAACCACUUGGGAUACGUUGAUGGCUGGUUAGGGGGUAUCAGAGGCAGAGCAGGAGCAAACCCGGGUGAGUUCGACAAACUUUUGCAGGUUUGACCUGCUAAGGUUCGAUGGGCAGAACAUCGAGCCCUGGAUAGUUGAGGUAUGGGUUGAUGUUGUAGAGAUGUUAUUUGAGAACUUAUAUAUUGUAAAGGGAUCAAGUGCACCUGACAGCGCAUUGUUCGGAGGGCGAUGCUCACUACUAGUGGAGGGUUCGAUUGAGUAGGCUGGAGGGUGCGUCUCCUGGGAACACUAUUUAGUGCUUUUUUUUUUUUUUUGAGAAUUGUGAAGGAAAAAAUUGGAGAAUGAUUUCAAGAAAUUGCGACAGGGGGAUUGCACAGUGCAGAAUUAUGGAAGGGAGUUCACUUGCAUUCUGAACUGCAUUCCUUUCGCAGUCCAAGAUGAAUGGCAUAAGACGUUACUUUGAGCGAGGCUUGUGGCUGGAGAUUAAUUAGUUUGUACAGUUGCAACAUUUAUAGACUGUAGAUGAGUUGAUUGAGGUUGUGCUUUGGAUGGAGCGGGGUGCCACGGUGUUGCGUUAGGAAAGUGAGGUCUUAGAGAAGGAAAGCAAAGCAGCCAGUGAAGAUCUUCAGUCAAGAUCGAGGAAGCCAUUGAAAUAUUCACAAUAGCAUUCUCAAGGUCGUGGAUCCUUCGUUGGAUGGAGACUUUUUGUGGCUCGGCAAAGCAGCAGGGGAGAUGUGUGAUAUAUGGUGGGCCGCAUUUGCCUCAUUUGUGUGCUCAGCGAGAGGGUCAAUGUUUCUGCUAUGGAUAGGCGGGACAGAGGUGGCCAACAUGUCCUCAAGAUACUUCACAGGCACUAUCAGUGGCGUUUAUUCCUUCGACCCCACGACAGAUGAGAUGAGACACCCACAUUUAUUUCUACAAGCCAUCCCCUUGUACCACGCCCGACUGAGGGAUCUCCACAGGUGCUAAGUGGUAGAGUAUAUGCGCCGCAGGUUGAGAAGGCAUCAACUGUUGAUAAUGUGGUCAUGGCUAUUAUUUUAAUUAAUGGUGUUUGAGUACGCGUAUUAUUUGAUACUGGUGUAUCACAUUCAUUUCUGAGUUGGGCAUUUGCAUCACUGCAUGGACUAGAAAUAGAUACAUUGUCGCACGUACGAGGUUUUAGAUUUCUGAUCAUGUUGGGGAGUGUUGUAUGUCAUAUCCAGUGCAAUUGCAACAAUAGAUUAUACCUGUAGACUUAUUGAUCUUGAAGCAAUUAAAGAAUUUGGAUGUAGUGUUAGGGAUGGCUAUUAUGCGACGAUUAACCGCGGAGAUAGGAUGUUGGUAUUACGCGAGCCAGUGUUGAUAUUACGCGAGCCAGAGUAGGAGGAGUUUGUAUAUAAGGGUUGUAAGAGUACCCUGUUUGUUAUGAUCAUUUCUACAUGUUAUAGUACUGAGACUUUGACACAUGUUUUUGUAUAUAUUCACUCCUUGUAGCUAAUUUGGACAAGUUGGUUGUAUACGCUUUGUAUGUCUGGGUGCGUUCAAGUGCAUACGGCUGAUCUGUUAGCGUAAUCUAGGGGUUUACAGCAGGCUUCUGUUGUAACACGAGGCGUGACGCCUAUGAACCCUAUGUGCAAUUUAGAUAUGUUAUUCCAUGGCAGGUGAUACACUAGAAAGUAGAAACCUUUAUUUUUAUUCUAUAGAUACCUUGGCAAGGGCAUGUGUGCAAAUAAGUAGGUACCUUCUUAAGGUUACUUCGUCUCCUCGCUGGCGACAGAUGGAAGGAUAUAUGGUUAAGUAAAUCAGAUAAAUCAUGUUUAAUGAGCGGAUGAUUUUUGAUAAUAGAGUUAAGUUUUAUUCAUUAUUUUUUCCUCUAUAUUUGUAAGGGCAUCUGUAUGUGAGAAGUGCAGUAAUGUUUACUGCUACACGUGAUUGCAUGUAAAUCUUUGUGAAGUAUGGACAUCACUAAUUAAGCAAUAUGCUUUUGGAGGCUGUGAGUUUUGUCUUAACUAAUAUUUCCGUAUUUAUUUGCGGCAGCUGGUGCGUCCUGCAAAAACUGCGGAAAUGUCAGCAACAGCAUCUCGUUCUUAUCUGAACAGUCAGAGUUGACCACAUUGGCACAACUUUGAUCCGUAUCUUUGAAAAGAACUGAAAAAAAAAAAAAAAAAAAAAAAAAAAAAUUUGCUCAUCUGAGACUGAUUUGUAUACUUAGCUAUGCGUAAUUAAACCCUUAAGAAGUUGAUUUGCAACUUUGAUCUGGCAAAGGUCCGUUGACUUCCCGUUUAUGAUAAUACUCUUCUCUCCAAAUUUGCAUUGUGAUGGGUAUAUCAAGCUCCAAUCACUUCAAAGAUAUUUUCGCACGGAACUCAUUGUCAGCUAUUAUUUCUUGGUAUUCGUUGUAUUAAUUUGAUAAAUAGGUCUAGUGUACCAUGGGGUGGAGAACUGAACUUGGAGAAUUAAACUUAAUGGACCAUUCUUGUUUUCAAUUAUCCAAAUAUUACUCGCAUGGUAGAUAUAAAUAACUUCCAUUGGUUGGUGAGACUGUGUAGUUAAGUACCUGAAAUUAUCAUCUUUUCUUGUAUACUAAGAGAUUUUCAGUUUAGUAUGAUAUAAUCUUCAAAUACUAAUGGAAAUGUUGAUUUUGGAUCACAGGAGAGCCUCGUUUUGGCAGCUUCAGCAACUUCUCUUUAGCAGGAGAAAAUUCUAUUAGUGGAAUUCCAUCAUUGUCCAGACGAAGCAAGAUGCGACCAAGAAGUUCGGUGGUCCCUUUAGCAUCAAAGAGCUCCUUCAGCUACCCUGAGAUGACUUGCAAACCUAAAUGGUGGUGGCGCACACUCGCUUGCAUCCCUUACCUUCUACCUCUCCACAAUAUAUGGUCCUACGCUGAUGUAGUUUAUCAUCUUCACCCUUUAUUGCAAAAUUACGAGUUCCUGGUGAACCCUUUCCUGGACACUAUAGCGUUAAUGCCCAGUUGGCUCACUUACGCUCUUUUCAUGGGAAUCUACUACUUGGUGGUGAGGAGGAAUGAACUGCCUCAUUUCCUGCGGUUCCACAUUGCAAUGGCGAUGCUUUUUGACACGGGCAUUCAGAUCAUGGGGACUGUGUGCACUUGGAUGCCGAACACGGUCUACAGGGGUAGCUUGAUGGUGCAUUUCUGGCUGACAUUGGCAUUCCUUCAGAUGUACACAGUGCUUGAUUGCAUGAGGUGCGCGCUUUCUGGAAUGUACUCGGAGGUGCCCUUUCUGUCUGAAUCGGCGUACAUUCACACUGAUCUGAAGCUAUUUUGAUAUUAGGGUUCCUCUCCAUAAAUAGUUAAUGCAUAGUUAGAAUAAUGUGUCUAUCUGUAGAGAUCGUGGUUACUAGAAGAAGCUACGGAGAUCGUGGCAGAAGAAAUAAUAGCUAGUUAUUAGGCUUGUUCCCUUGUCUUGAAAUAGGAUGUUACCAAAGGUAGGAUUAGAUUUUGGUAAAUUGCGCUACUAGUCCAUGAACUUAGCAUUGAGUUUUGUUUCAGUCCUCAAAACUUUCUGACGUCGACAAUCGAGAUCCUGAACUUUCAAUACGGUUUCAUUUUAGUUACUAAACUUUUUCGUUUGUUUUGAUUUAGUCUUUAACUUGGAAUUAUUGCUUGCACCAAGUUCAUCUUUAUGUGUGUACACUGAGUAUUGCAGCUUUUCAACCUAUCUUGUAUUUUUAAUUCAAUGGUCAAAUUUUUAUAUGAAGAAAAGAUUAUAACUCAAAUGGAUGUAAGUACUGAAAUAUAGGAUAAUAAAAAGGGCCGAUGAAAGCUAUAGCACAGAUGUAUAGAGGCAAUAAUUUACCUUCUAAUAGGAGUUUGUAGAUAAGGUCUAGUGUGAAACUAUUUCAAGAGUUCAGGGAUCAGUAAUGUCGAACCUAAAAGUUUUGAGGACCAAAAUGAAACCCGGCUAGAAGUUUGGGGACUACUACUGUGGAAUGAGAGUGCAAAACAAGUGUGGCAGUUACAUGGACAUUGUUCGAUUCAGGGCCCCACAAGUGUAGACUCCUGUGGGAUUCUGAAUCUAACUAUUAAUUUUGUCUAUUCAAUUCAGAUUAUGUUCUCUUUUAAUCACAACAAAUUUUGUUCAUUUGGCAUUUGUACAUUUGGGCUUCAUAAUAGUUGUUUAAUGUAGUUUCUUGAGGGUUUGAUAUUUGAUGUACUUUGUGAGUGCUAAAGUAAUUGGAAUAAACUAUUCUCGAGUAAGUUGACAGGUGGAAAAAAAAAGUGUGCAUCAAACAUUAUUGGUCUUGCAUGUGAGCUAUUCUUUGCAAAGUUCCUCUUUCUUUCUUUGGCUUCCAUAUCUUAGAAGUGUACUCGUCCUCCCUAGAGAUGCAAAUGGAUGGGGUUGGUAGAGCUCCCGCCUUGAUCUGUCCCGAAUGGGGCGGUAAGUAGGAACAAAAAGUAUAGAAAAAUAUAACUCGCAUUGAAUCCGCUCCGAUCCAUCAAGUAAAUGGAGCGGGAGGCGGGAGAUUCUUUUCUUUUUUCAAUCUAUCUUGAUCCGUAACAAAUUUGUCAAAAAUUCGCUCCCGUCCCGAAUGGGAUGGUAAGUGGGACCCAAAAAUAAAAUAAAAAAUAACUCGUCUCGAAUUUGCCCCAUCCAGACAAGAAAUAGAACGGGAAGUGCUGGCACUCAUUCGCCGCUGGAUCCGCCCCAUUUGCAUCCCUUGUCCUCCCCCCCCUCUUUGUAGCUCAGAAAAAGUAAUCUCUCAGUUCUCGUAUUUCGCUCCCUCUCUCUCUCUCUCUCUCUCUCUCUCUCUCUCUCUAAUAGUGGAUGCAUCCAUCCUCAUAAAUUAUUUUUGAUGGAGUUUUUAAAUCGAUAAUUCAUAUUAUUAAAUAUUAUUUAAUGCAUUUGAAGUAUAUAGAAGUUGAAUUUUAUAAUUUUUAAAAUUAUAAUGGAAUCGGUAUAAAAUGAACGGUCAAAAUUGAAUGACCUUUAAAAAUGGAGCAUUUAAUUGAAGAUGGGAGUGAUUGGAGUAAUUUAUCUUGAUAUCGAUAUUGAAUAGAAUUUUUUAAUUAAAAAUUCAAUCGAUUUUAAUUUUUUUAUACCAUUAAAUUAAAAAAUGCUCUAUACUGACCGUUAAAAUUUCAAUUUUGAGGCCUUUCGAUUAAUAAGGUAUACGACAUUAAAAAAUUAUAAAAUUUGAUUUCUAUAAUGUUUAUAAUGGAAAUUAUAUGGAAAGGCAUAAAUCGUCAAUUCAGAAGCUUAAUAAUUGAAAACAAUUUAUCAAUACGAAAGCAAUCGUAUUCGUAAAAGUAUAGUGGUCUGUCACACUGCAGACGGUAGCCUUACUUAGCGCACAUGCAGUCCCACUACACAGAAAGAGGCUUUUAUGCAUGUGUAUGGCAUCAUAAUACAAACCACCUGCCAAUUUUCAUGAUUUGCAAAGAGAAAAACUCAGAAAUUUAAACUUUAAAAUGAUUUUGCAACAUUUACCAAAACAAGUAUCUGAGUUUUUCAGGAAAAAUAAAUGUGUGUUUCCAAAACAUAUGAGUCUUUACCAUAGAAUUCAACAUUCCAGUUUUUCCAAAACUGAAACACUAGCUCCAACCAGGAGUUUAACUUACAACAUUCAAGUUUUGCCAAAAUACAUGAGUUUCAACCCUGCGGUUUAAGUCACAACAUGCUAUCUUAAAAUAAAACUAAAAAUGUAACUCAGUCGGUGGGGAACUAUUUAACGCAAGAUCCUCGCGAAAAGUCUCGCUCCACCUUGUCCGACGAACUUGCAAAACAAUCGGUACAAUAAGCCGUCGAGAGCAAACUAUAUCGACUGGAUAAUAAGGCACCAAUGAUAACAAAAUAACUGAAUAGUACCACACGUAUGUGAAAAUAUGUGUAUGAUUUGGCUAUCAUCCGACUAACUAUAUCCAACAGAUAUCAUUUAUGAAUCAUACGUAUAGCUGCAAGCAACGGUAUGAUUCCCACCAAAGUAACUAUGUCCAAGUAAGUGUACGUCAACUGAAUCUUCAUGUACAGUAGGAUAACAGUGAUAAUAAAGUAACCGACCGUUUCUAGUGCAAGUGGCAAAAGAUUUGGUGGUUGGUACCCGAGAUCCCAAAUUCGAAUCUUAAUUGAUUCACAUUUUCAGGUAAGUUUAUUUCUAAAUGAAAUAAACGAAGCGGAUAGCAUGUCACCUAUUUCUCAAAAAAAAACCCAACGAUAAUAAAGUAGCUGGAAGGCACAACAAGCAUGCAUAAAAAAUUAGGGAUGAAUUGAAGUCAGUUGUGCUUCAUCAAAGUGAAUUGGUCACAUCCAUGCCUGGGGUAAGAAAUUGUAUUGGACUUAUAUGUAUAUAAAGAAGUAACAUAAUUGGUAAAAUGAUAUGUAUGAAAAUGCAAUUUAUUUUAAAUAAAUUGAUACUAUGAUACUAGAACUCAACAUAAGUGGAACACACAAAUCUAUGUUGAGAUAACAAUAACACUCUCUAUGGACAUUGGAGAAUGAACUGACAUGUAUACGAAAUCUAGUGCCAUUUAAUAUAGGUUGGAAAGAUAUAGUGGGUAGGAUAUCACUUGGAUGGGCAGGAUACUACUUGGGCCUGAUAAUAUAAAAUCUAGAAAGAUUGACAAUGAAUGGUGAAAUCAUGUGUACCUUUGCCUCGACCAAGAAAGCGGCGAUCUCGCUACCCAAAGACUUGAGAAAGCGGCGAUUCCGCCACCCAAUGCCGAGAUAGUGGUGAUUCUGCUAAGUAUGAACUUAUGGCCGGAGGCGAAAGUGGCAAUUCCGCUAUCCAAUGCCAAGAUGAAAAGUGACAAUUCUGCUAUGAAUUGACCCACGACAGGAGUCGAGUAACAUAUGGUUAAUUAGGAUAAUGAAAUUAGUGGAUAAAUAAUAACUUCUGUCAUUUCAUAAAUUUUCAUUAUUGCAUAAACUGAGCAUGAGCAAGAUUAUUUUAUUUUGGAAUAUAGUACUUAUUCAUGUGCUUUAGUUAUCCAAACACCUUCUUAAUUUUGGGUUGAGCAUGUCACAAUAACUGAGCAAUUAUCAUUUAUUGUUGGAUCGUUGGUGCUAACUAUUAAUUCCAAAAGUUCGAGCUAUUAGAAAUACGCAACCAAUUCACUUAGGUAUCGUUUGGUUCGGGGAUAAAAAAAAAAGUGGCUGUUCCAGGAAUAGGUAUAAAUUGAGGUAUAAGUGAGGAUUAGAUCAAUUUUGCGUUUGGAUGAAAAUUGGGUUAUUCCUGGAAUAAAAAAAAUAGCGUUUGGUUAGGUAAGAUGGAAUAAGAAAGAUAAUAGGUUUUGUAAAUAAAAAAUAAUGAUAUUAUCCACUUAUUAUAUUUGAAUUUGAAUUUUUAAAUUUUUAAAUUUAUAUUUCUAAAUUUAAAAUUUUAACUUUGAAAUUUAAAAUCUCAAAUUUUAAAUUCAAAAUUUUAAAUUUUAAAUUUCAAACUUUAAAUUUAAGAUCAUAUUUAAAUUAAAAAAAUAUAAAAUAUCAAAUUUUAAAUUUCAAAAAUUUAAAAUAUCAAAAUUUAAAUUUAAAAUUUAAAAUUUAUAAUUUAAAUUUUAAACUUUAAUUUUGAGAUUAUAAAUUAUAAAUUUUAAAAAUUUAAAUUUUUAAUUUUUAAAAUUUUAAAAUAAGAAUAGUGGUGGGAACAAUUAAUAAAAAUAAUUUAUUAUAAUAAAUUUAUAAUUUUUUUAAAAAUUCUACUUAAACUUAAAUUUAAUAAAAAAAAUUUAUUAUAAUAUUUAAAUAUAAUUUAUUAUAAAUUUUAUUAUAAUAUUUAAAUAUAAAUAAUAUGUAUUAAUAUAGUACAAUUAAUAAUUUUAUAAUAAAAAUAAUGUAUUAUAAUAUAUAACAUAUUAUAUUUAUAUAAUUUAGUUUAAUUCAAUUUAUAAGUUUAAUUAAGUUUGAAAUUAAGCAUUGGAAUAGCACUAUUCCACCAAAAUGGUGGAAUAGCAAAUCCCUUGCUAUUUCGGGAUAACCGAGAAUAGCAAGGUUUGACCGGGAUAAAAUAUUCCGGCCAAAUUUUACCCCGUUUGGCGGAAUAGCGGGGAUAACAAAAGUUAUCCCCGCUUAUCCCGCGAUCCAAACGGGGCCUUAAAGCGUACAGAUACAGCGCCUACGGGUCCUAUCUAGCCUCACGCCAUAUCGAACAUGACUCGACCCAACAUGGCCUCCCGUUACAGAGCAGGAUGCUGGCCCAUUUAAGUCAACAAUCCCACAUUUGGGGCAUGCGGGAAUCGAACCUGUGACCUCUGUCUCUGAUACUACUUGUCAGAUUGAUGGCGCUAACCAAUAAUCCCAAAAGCUCNAAUUAAAUUUCGAACUUGGACCAGAGCUAAGUAAUUAAAGCAAUGAUGUUAAGAUUACUUUUGAAUGAACACUGAACUUAGCUAGAAAUGUGAAGAAAUUAGGUUUCAAACUUAUGACAUAGCUUUUUUUCAUUUUUCAAUUUUGGAUUGUUAGAUCUGGUGAACAAUUUGGGCACGAUCGCGAGGUCGGGGACGAAGGAGUUCAUGGAAGCGCUGCAGGCUGGCGCGGACAUGAGCAUGAUCGGGCAGUUCGGCGUCGGGUUCUACUCGGCCUACUUGGUGGCCGAGAAGGUCGUCGUGACCACGAAGCACAACGAUGACGACCAGUACGUCUGGGAGUCGCAGGCUGGCGGCUCCUUCACCAUUCGCAAGGACGUCGACGGCGAGCCUCUCGGUCGCGGAACCAAGAUCACACUCUUCCUCAAGGAUGAUCAGGUAAUAAUACAUGUAUAUGUACUGUAGGAUCGAUCGUUGGCGUUAACUAUUAAUUUUAAAAUCUUGAGUUGUUAGAAAAAUACAAUCAAUUCACUUAAAACGUACAGAUACUGCGCCAACGGGUCUCAAUUGUGACUCGGUCCACCUAGCCUCACGCUACUUCGAACAUGACUCGGCCCACCUGGCCUCACGCAAUUUCGAAUAUGACUCGGCCCAACAUGGCCUCCCACCACAGAGCAGAAUGCUGGCCCAUUUAAGCCAACAUUUAUUAUCAGAAAAACAUCAAUUACAACUAUAGAACAUAUGAAUCCUCAGUGCAGUCAGAUCGCAUUAAACCUGUCCAAAAUAUUCGAUAUUUCAUACCCGACCUAGACCAUACCCGAACCCUACCAGAACCCUACCCGGUCCCGAUAAAAAAUAGAUAGCAUACGGGUAAAAAAAAUUAUCCAUUAAAGUUUUAGGUAUGGGUCCAGAUAUUUUAUACUCAUACCCGAUUUGGACUCGACCUCAAUCCAACUUUUAAUAGGUAGGGUUCGGAAUAGUUUUCAAAUUCGUACCCGGACUCGGACCUGGACCAGUGAAAUAUUCGAUAGUAAAUAAAAAUGAUUUGAACUUUUGAAAUUGAGGGAUCAAUUUAAUAAGACUUAUAGAUGAGGGGUCUCUACGUAUUUUUAUCCUAGUGAAACCCUAGCCACUCUUUCACUCUUGUCUUUUUCUAAUCUUUUUACUCUUUGUUUUUUACUCCUUAUAUUUUCAUUUCAUUUCCGCCUUAGAGUUUUUUAUGAAAUAAUAUUUUCAUCAUCAUCAUCAUCAUCAUCAUCAUCAAUGACAAUCCUCUACAAGCGUGGUACAAGUGAGUUUUUUUUCAAAUCCCUUCUCCAAUAGACCCGACCCGACCCAACCCGAUCGGGUACCCGUACCCAAUCUAGACCUGACCCGUACCUGGUCCUGAAUGGGUAGUAUACAGGUAGUCACUAUCCACACCCGCUCAACCCGAUGGGCAUAUUACUAACUUAAGUAUCCAGACCCGAACCUGAUACAAAGUUAUAUGGGUAGAAUAUAUAUAUAUAUAUAUAUAUAUAUAUAUAUAUAUAUAUAUNNNNNNNNNNNNNNNNNNNNNNNNNAGAGAGAGAUCAUAUAAUGAGAGUUUAGUAAUGGUGGUGAUGAGUAACUCAUAUUUUUUUUUUUCAGGGGUUGUUUGUCAAACAAGUUCGGCAAAGCGGUGGAAGAUACUUAUGCAAUCGCACAAAUGCUGAGCUUGAGGAGAUCAAUAGGAGGAGGUAUGGUAAAAAAUAUUUUAGGCUGCAAAUAACAAUUUCAGUACUCAAUUUUUAUCAUCCAUCAAUUAAUUUAUGAUUUCUUGCAUUUACUGCAGCCUCUUUUAUACAUGGAAGAUACAUAAUGCAUUGCGAGAAUAUUACAUCAAUUAUGCAAGAAAGAUGCUAUUGAAUCAAUGAUGCAGAGAAGAUGCGAAUUCUAUUGUUCUGCUUCUUGAGUUAUUUAAAAGAAUAUUAUUAUAUCUUUUUAGCUAUUCUAAACUUUAUUUAUUUCAUUUAUAUAUGUCAAAAUAUUUUUUGUAAUUUUCGCGAUUAUGAUAUUAUUUAUUUCAUAAUAAUUCAUUCAAGCAUAUCUUCUAAUAGCGAGGAAAUUUAUUAUUUUAAAAUUUAAGAUAUUAUAUUUAGCAAUCAUAUAAAUAUGCAAUAAAAUUAAAUUUAUUAAAAAAGAAUUUUACCCUCGCCGUAAUAAUAUUACAGUGCAUUGGCAACGUACAUAUUUACUUAGUAUAUAUAUAUAUAUAUAUAAUAUUAUUAUAUAUAUAUAUUAUAUAUAUAAUAAUAUAUAUAUAUAUAUAAUAUAUAUAUUGAUAUUUUCUAGCCAUUUCUUUUUAGGUUGUGGGUACGGUAUAUUAAUUAUCCCGAUUCGACCAGGUCCACGGACACCUUUAGAUCACAUCCAACAAAAAUGGAUAGCCACGUCGCCAAUUAAAUAAUGAACUAAUGAGAAAUUGCCAAAUAUCCUAUGAAAAUUUGGAUGCACUCAUUUCAUCGUAAAUUGACUCUAAAUUACGCAUAAAAGAUAAAUUUAUAUUAUAUAAUAAAUUAUUUAAAUAUUUUAUAUUGUAUUUUAUUUUACAAUACUAAUUAUUAAAUAUUUAUCAAUUAUUUAAUAUACUGUGUGGUGUAUGGAUCAUUAAUAUACACUAGGUGCAAGCAAAGAUUUAUCCUCUUUUUCUUUGAAAUUAUGAGUGCAUUCUGUUAAAUAUUCUCUGCAUGGAAUAUAUAUGUGUAAAUACACCACAUACUUGAAGUCAUUUAAUAGAGAUUUUAAAAUUUAAUUAAUUAAAUAUAAUUUAAAUUAUUAGACUUUGUAUAACAUAUUAUAUUUAAUUAAGUUUUGAUAUUUAAAAAUUUGUCAUUUAAUAUAAGUUGCGGUGUAUGAAAUAUUAUUAUACAUCAAGUGCAUACAAUAGUUUCUUCUUUUUCCAAUCAAUUUUAAUAAGAUAAACACACCUUUGUCUUUUCUGCAAUUUAAAAUAACUCCUCCAAUUUUAAAUUUUAGUUAAAAAUUAUUUAUAAAAUGGCUACCCAAACUUGGUUGAACUUUUAAACAAAAUUGUUAGAAUAAUUUAACUCUUUAAAUACUGAAAGUUUUAAAAAAAUAUAUAAUAAAAAAGAUUAUUUUUUAUAAUAUACAUAAGGUUACUUUAUAAAUUUUUUUUUUCACUAGUUAUAAAUUUUCAAUUUAAUAAUUAUAAUAUAUAUCUUAAUUGAUUAAAAUAUUAUUUUUUUCGGCUACUCGCACAAAUUAAAAGCGCGGAUCCAAUACUAGUACGGAUAAACUUGAUAUGUUGAUUUUUUUUUUUUUUUUUUUUUUAGAGAGAUAGAUAGCACGCUAUCCAUUUCGUUUAUUUCAUUUAGAAACAAACUUAGCUGGAAAUGUGAAUCAACUAUGAUUCGAACUUGGAACCUCAGGUACCAACCAUCGAGCCAUUGAUAUGUUGAUUUUGUUCUUCUACAUUUGACUCGUCGCUUGCGUAUGUGGAUAGUCCUCGAUCGGUACAUUACCUAAUAGACAUAAUUUUAGGCUGAACAAGUCACAAUAUGUGACCAAUUAUCAUUCAUCACCAUAGAAACGUCAACUAAAUAAGAAAAGCACGUUGUUGGUCAAAACAUACUUAUAAAUACUACAACUAAUAUGAGUUAGACUGUCAUACUAUAAGUAGACAAAUGAUAAUUAAUUGCACAAUUUUUGGAAAGAGAGCUAAAGUAAAAAAAAUUUGGAGAAAUUUACUAUAUGCCCCUGCAAAUUCAAGUAAUUUCAUUACUAACCUUGUAAAUAUUAUUAUAAAUACCCUUCAAAAUUUUAAAAUUAACCUAAUAAAUAAGUUUCUGAGUAAUUUAAAAUUAAUCAAUAGAAGAAAAUUCUUAUUGCACUCUUUUUUGUCUAUCAUCGCUGUUUUUAAAUUUGUUGGACUCGAGUCUUAUACAUGAUCCGUUUUGGAGGGGCCCUAUUGAUCCGGUUCGAAUUGUUAUCCGCCCCAUUAAGUCAAUUAUGAAAAAAAAAAAAAAAGAAACUGUAGCUAUCCCCAUGAUGAAAAAGUGGAUUGGAGAUAUAUAUAUAGAAAUGGUCCUCUCCCUUUGAUAGUAAUGAAAUACUAGCGAUAGGAACCCAUUAUUAUUCCAUCAUUAUAAAAAAAAAAAAAUUAUUAUCAUUACAUAAUUGCAUUGCGGUUAUUUAUGCGUGAACCAAACUAAUUAAAAAGAUGGGACCGAGAGGUGGUUGGCAGAUGAGAUUGAGAUGGUUUGGAUGAUCUUCAAGUCUACUUUCAUGAUGGCAUUGGAUAUUUUUUAAGUAAUUGACUUGGGAGUGAGGAUACUGUCAUAUACAUGUACCAUUUUCUUCUUUUAUUAAUUAAUUUAUCUCAAAAGUUUUAUAAUAGUUAUUCGUCUUUUAGGACAGUGGAACCAUGCAUGUUCAAAAUAAUUGAAUUGUACCAUUUUCUUCUUUUAUUAAUUAAUUUAUCUCAAAAUUUUCAUAAUAGUUUUUCGUCUUUUAUGAGAGCGGAACCAUGCAUGUUCAAAAUAAUUGAAUUGUACCAUUUUCUUCUUUUAUUAAUUAAUUUAUCUCAAAAUUUUCAUAAUAAUUUUUCGUCUUUUAUGAGAGUGAAACCAUGCAUGUUCAAAAUAAUUGAAUUAGAAGGAGAAAGUGAGAUUCAUUUAGUGUCGUAUAGACAAAAGAGGAUGGCAGGUGCAUGCACGAAAGCAUGGAAACUCAUAUUCAAUGAGUCUGUCCUAGGGUGAAAACGUACAGCUGGAUACGGUCGGAGAUUUGAUGAAAUUAUAUUCAUAUUUAUUAUUUUUUUCUAUGUGAAUUUGAAUACGCAUAUAUAUAUAUAUCGGAUGUUAAAUUUUGAUUACCAUAUCUAUAAUGUUAAAAUUUUAUUACCAUAUCUACUAAAAAUGAAUUAGAAUAUAAUUGAAUAUUUUUUCGGAUUCGGAUAUGGAUCUUAUUUGUAUUUGAAUAUUAUUCGGAUAAUAAUAUAUUCUAAUAUACGCAUAUGAAUAUGAACUAGAAUUAACAAUAAUAUAAUUAAAAAUUUCACAUUCUUGUUCAAAUUUUUAUAUACCUAUAUAUAUUUUAUUGAAUAAUAUCUAAGAUUUAACACCGACUGUCCCUAGAGCAAGUGGCAAAGGGCUUGGUGGUUAAUACCCGAGACCCAAGUUCGAAUCCUAGUUGAUUCACAUUUCUAGCUAAGUUUAUUUCUAAAUGAAAUAAACGAAGCAGGUAGCGUGCUACCUAUCUCUCAAAAAAAAAAAAAAAUCUAAGAUUUAACAAAUACAAAUAUAAUUUCAAAACUCAUAAUAAACUGAAGAAAAUGCAUAAUAAACCAGCAAUCAAACCCCAAAGUAUAAUUCAAAUCCAAAUUUAUAAUUAUAAUUAUUCUAAGUUUAAAUUUAAAUAUAUAUUUGAAUUUAAAUUAUUAUUAUUAUUGAAUUUUAAUAAUAAUUUGAGGUGUGGGAAAUCGAAUUCAUCUCACAUAAGAGUAUUUUUUACCAUCUAAGCUACACCCUUCUUAUUAUUUUUCCGCAAUAUAUGAAUUAAUAAUAAUAUAUAUUAUUUUUUGGAUAUUCGAAAUCGAAUCCGAAUCCGAAUCCAAAUUUGAAUUCGAAUCUAAAUCCAAAUCUGAAUUUGAAUCCAAAUUUGAAAUAUUUUAAUACAUCUGCAUCUGAAUUAAUUUGAAUUUAAAAAUAUUGUAAAUAUAACAUCCAAAUUUGUAUUCGACCGAAUACGUAAUUUUGAUAUUUGUAUUCACAUUUGAUCGAAUAUGGUGUUAGAUUCAAUCUGAGUUUAUCCUAAGUACUUUCACCCAUAAUUAGGGUGCACGGAUUUACAUUUGAUUUUUCAAGUGGAUGAAUCAUCUCCACUUCAUGUUAAAAGCAUUGAUGCUAAAAAGGCCUUUUAUAAGAAAUGAUAGAAAUUAAAUAGGCUUUGCCUUCUGUUUAUACAGACUCAUGCUAGUAAGAAUAUUCAAGAUUUCAUUCUUACCUGUAAGAAAGCUAAGGAUUUUGAAGGCAAUAGAGGAUUAGAUUGUCAGUUCUAAUAAAACUAAAACAGGUUAAAUUGCAUUGUUACCUCCUGAACUUUUGGCGAAGUUUUACUUUAUCCCUCGAACUUCUAAAAUGGACAUCUAACAUCCUAAACUCUAAUAUUUCAUUCAUGUUACCCAUUCCAUCAGUUUUCCGUCAAGCUCUGUUAACCAGAAACUGACAGAAGAGGUAAAACGAAUAAAAUAUUAGAGUUUAGAGUGUUAGAUGUCUAUUUUAGGAGUUUAGGGGGUUAAGUGAAACUCGCCAAAAGUUCAGGGGGUAACAAUGCAAUUUACCCCAACUAUAAUUUAUUUUUAUAUUAAAAAUUUCUAAUUGGUUGAAAUGAAGUACAUACAUUUUAUUUAAGUGUAUUUUCUAGGGCAAUACUUAUAAAGAUAAAAGAAACAAACGAGUACUAUAGAAAAUUAACUGAGAAUUAAAAUAUCUAUAUCCGAGUGAGGACACCUAUUGUAAAUCAACCAUAUUAGUGAAUACAUCAGGACAGCAUAGUGUUCGAGCAUCGUAGGUAGUUAGUAUCACUAUUUUCUUAUCUUUAAGCCACUCUAUUCAUUUCUUUCGCUUUUAUUACAAUAAAAUGUAGGAUAAAUUAUGUUAUGAUUUAUUUUAGGAUAAAAAUAUAUAUAAAUUCAAAAUGAAGCAUGAUCACUAACUUGAGGAUUAGCAGUCAAUCCAUAAGUAACAUAUUAUAAUAAAAUAAUUUAUAGUCAAGAGUCCUCUCGGGGUAAAUUUCAUUGCUACCUCCUGAACUUUUGGCGAGUUUCAUUUAACCCCUCAAACUCCUAAAAUAGGCAUUUAACAUCCUAAACUCUAAUAUUUUAUUCGUUUUACCCUUUCCGUCAGUUUCUCGUCAACGGAGCUUGACGAAAAACUGACGGAAAGAGUAACAUGAACGAAAUAUUGGAGUUUAGGGUGAUGGAUGUCCAUUUUAGGAGUUCGAGGGGUAAAGUGAAACUUCGCGAAAAGUUCAGGGGGUAACAAUGCAAUUGUGGCACAGGCCUGAGAUUAUAUGCUUUUUGAUCCAAGAGCCCGUGAGCCCAAGAGUUUGGGUCAUUUACAAUUUAGAGCAAUUGUGGCACAGGCCUGAGAUGUGCGGACCAACAUGGCUGAUUUCUGAUUGGAUACUUUUGUACUAGUUGUCCAGUUGAUGCAUGCAUAAAGUAGCAGUAGCGAUUUAUAUAUGUGUCCCGUUUCUUUGUUUAUCAUUGUUACUGUAUUACCGUUUUCUAUACUUUUGUUUAUUCUCCUUGACCGGUGAGUACCCCUGGCACUCGUCGGCUUGCGGUACCCACUAGGAAGGGAGAUAUGUGUACAUGUUCUCAACCCCCCCCUCCCCUCCCAUCCCUCCCCUCCCACCCCCUUUCAGGUGAUGUCGCGGGUCCGAGUGAGGACGGUUCGUGAGGCACACAACUUAGCAUUCGAUAUAGCUAUCGGCCCGUCGUUUUGGUCAAACUCCUCAAACCUGUCUUUUUAAUAAUUGACUUACUAUUUAUGGUUCAGUGGUUUCCUUUAUUUGAAUAAUUGGGAUUUUGCAAAUGUAAUAAAGAAUUUACGGACUUCUUACAAAAUGAAAAUGGUUUAAUUUCUACCCCUCGUGGUAGUGCAUUUUCAAAAGAAAAGGUUUCCGUAUUGGAAACGAUUUUUAAAAGGGUUCUUUUGGCUUUCAUGAUUCUUAGUGUUUCAAAAUAAGUUUCUGAAUAGAAAACAUUUGAAACUAUUAGAUGUGGAUGUAAAUAUCUGUGAUGAAAUAAAUGGUAAUUGUGAUGUGGUUAAUAUAUGUAAAUGUUCAUACAAUUAUUGUUGUAUCUUGUACAUAUGCGAUGCCGUGCAAAUAUAUAAAAGAUUCUGUCCAUAUGAAUAGUGGACUCCCUAUAUUUGUGACGGAUUUGGUAUACCCUGGGGGUCAAGGUUUUUUUUUUUUAAAAAAAAAAAAAAUUGGGCACUUCCGCAGUGGCUUUUAAAGCCAAGGGACUCCACGGCGUGACACCCAUUCGCGUCCCCCGGAUUGCGGUGCCCUCCCCUACCUUUAAUGUUACUCGCUUUCGGUGGUUCACCUCGAUUGCCCUCGGUUCGCUCCCGCUAAGGCACUUUCUUUGCCAAAGUGAUCGCAGAGUUCAGAUCCUUCACAUUUCGCCUCACGAGCUCUUUAUACAUCUAUGGUUGAAGGCCAUCCAGGAAGAAGAACAAUCGAUCCUCAUUGGCUAUGUUGGAGAUCGCCAACAUCAAUUUUGAGUAUUCUUGGACAUACUCCUUGAGUGUCCUACGAUGUUUGAGCUGUCGAAGUUGCCUCCACAUAAUAUAUUUGAUUUGCUCAAGGUAGAACUGCUGCACCUUGAGCUCGCACAUGAAAUCCUCCCAAGCGUUGAGUUGGCAGCAACCCUGCUCCGCCUCCACCAAUCGUUGACGCUUCCACAACAUGGCAUUAUCGGAGAGGUACAUGGCUGCGAUUUGGACCUUACCCUCCUUGUCUUCUAACAGCAAUGCUUUGAAAUAUAGCUCCAUAUGCUAAAGAAAAUUAGCAAUCUCCUUCUAAUCUUGUGUACCCUUGAAGUGUUGGGGGUUCAGGGACGCGGACCUUCAGGGUGUGCUCCUUUCGUGUCUCGACGCCACGAGCCAUAGUGUGCAACUAUCCAACACCUUGGUUAGUAUAUUGUGGGACUCUUAGUGAGUCGACUCAAAGUUAACUGGAUUUCGAAUGUUGACCUGCAAAGUCGGUGAUUCGACGGUUUUGGUUGUGAACUUUUGGUUCAGUAAAGAUGUAUCAAGUGGUUUGGUACUUCGAUGUGUCGCCCUUCCAACUUGUCGUUGGUAGUGGAUCUUCGAGUAUUUCGCUUUUCUUUUGAUAAGUAUAUUGGCUGCAAACAAUGUACUGUCGAAAGUUGGGACAAAAUACUCUUUUCCCCUUUAGGACUUUUGGAUUGGGUCGGUGUUGUCUCUUGCAAGACAAUCUCUAUAGAUUGUCUUGUGGAAAAACCUGGAGUGUUGGUCAUCUAUGACCACGUGGCGAGCCUUGGGGUAUUUCCUUGGCAGGUUUUGUGCAGUUGAUUUAUCGUCAUUGCAAAAAGUAUUGACUUUGGUUCGAGUCUGGGUGCUCGUUAGCUCUUUAGUUGUGCCUUUCACAACUAAAAGUUUGCGUUGAUUGGUAGUCUCGACUUUUUGCCGGGAGGUUCUGAAUCAUGAUUGAUGAGCGGCUUGAGCCUAGUUAUUGGCUUUGGUUGUCGCGGUAUGUGAUAGUGUAUAAGGUUUGUGACUCGGCUUAUCGUGCAAAUCUUGCAAUAGUAUGCUUGUCCGGUUAUUUGGUGACAGGUGUACCUAGGUCUCAAUGAGACAGGUGUUUGGUGGGUGGGAACAUCGACUGCUAGGGUCAGCGACAGGGUCUCGUGGAGAUAGGUGUUAGGCAUUAUCGAUAGUUAUUGUCGCAUAUUGCGAUUGGCAACCCUGUGCAUCAAGUGAUAAACUUGCAAGGAGCAUAUGUUGGUUUGAUUGUACUAGAUUAAGUUAUUGAGGAGACAAAAUUGUCGAGCUCAGUUGGUAUUGUCAGCCUUGGACCUUGUGACAAAGCGGAAGGUAAGGUCUUGAACCUAGGAGCGUCGAAUACUGUGGGUGGGUUUUCGAUACUAGGAGUUUGACCUCAGUUGUUUAUGUUUUAACUGGUAGGAGACUGUGGUAUCCGAGGUGAGUGCUAUUGACUCAAGUUUUAGGAUAAUGAUAUGCCUUCGCUCGAGAUGAGAUGGUUGGUGUUGUUGGCUAGUCGGAGUAUGUCGUUUCAACCUACGAAAAUAUACAUAUGAGUUGUGGUGUUGUCCCGUGACUUUUCUACGUGAACUUUCGGCGUAGAUGAGUCGGUUACUUCUACGCAGUCUAAGUUUGGGUAGACAUAGAGUUUCUGAGUAGUAAGUUAUUAUCUCAGAUUUGGCAAUUAUGGGAUCGGAUAACCCCAGUUGCGGAACAGUUUUGUCCGCAAGUUAUUGGAUGAUAUUGAUCCUUGUGGGUUUGAUCCAUAUAUAUUAGCUGGUAUAUUUCCCUCAUCUUGUCCGAGUGAAACUGUAGUUUAUUCUUCCCUUCUUCGGAGGUUGAUCUAUCUAGAUUCAAGGAAAUGUGACUGACCAGUACUCACAGGUGAUACCGCAGUAGUGGAGUGAUAUCCGAAUUCGAUUACGGUAGGUACGUGGUAAAGUUUCGGGGACGAAACUUCCUUUAAGGGGGGGAUAAUAUGAGGACUGGAAUUUUUGGGGGCAAAUAAAUCCUUUGUUGAGGAUGUUUUUGUGUAAAAUUUAAUUACAUAAGAACUCGACAAGUUUCAGGAGGAAACAAGUUAGGAUGGAGAAGUUACGUGACCUGUACUAAUCACUUAAGUGAAUAGUAACUCCGGUUUUUCGGAGAGGCCAAUCAGUAGAGAUGGCUUCUAGUGCAUAUUGGACUCCGUUCAUAGUGAUCCAAAAGCUCGUUUUCGACGGUUCAACUAUCCUGGACCCAAUGGAACAUACGAAAUUAAAUUUUGAUACACGAUUUUCGAGAAAAAGGGGGUUUAAUUGAUUUACACACACACACACACAUAUAUAUAUAUAUGUGUGUGUGUGUGUGUGUGUGAUUUUUGGAAACAUAGAGAUGGGAUGGGUUUCGUCGCAAAUCGGUGAUCAUAUCGGGUGAAAUGAAAUUGUGAGUUCGUUGCCCCAGUCGUACUGAACGCGCUGGUACGAUCCGAUCGAAAAUCCGACGGACGGAUCUCCAGGAAUCGCAUAAAGUCCGAUGAGGGGCCGAAAUUGGCGAAACGAAAAAUCUACGAAAAACCCAAUAUUUUAUGUAUCGUUUCGCGUGAUUUCGAAUGUCGAGGUGUGUAUGCGCAAAACGCUCGUGCUGUGAGGGACUUAGCUGAAAAUCCAAUCCUCAGAUAUGAAGGAUUGUUUUGCAAAAAUGACACUUGGUAUGUAAUGGAGCAAUUAGGGUUUCAUGCACGAAACCCUAGCCCUAGUUGUCCCAGCUCCCUCAGAUACGCCCAACCGUCCCCAGCACCCUCUUGCCCUAGCCGCGAGCGCACCCCGACCGCUGGCGAGGGACUCCGGCCGCCAGAAAAGUCGACGUUGCCUCUUCUCCAUCAUCAUUUCCACUAAGCUACUAUCUUCCUGGCCAUGGACCUCAAGGAGUUGACCACACGCGUCGGGCCCCCCUCCAUUGGUUGAUCCGCGGCCAUCAGCGGUUAGCACUGGCCGAGCUCAGCUGAACUCGAGGCCCGAGUACCGUCGCCGCCUUUCUGGGCCUCCGGCGACCACUCGCCUGCCGUCGCCGCCAUCCCCGCUGGCCGCCGCCACCGCCCUAGCUCCCUGCGGCAGCCCAGACGCAGCUCGACUUGAGGUUGCUGCACGACGCCACCGCCCACGGUCGAUCGUACCGCCCUCCUUCGGCCACCGGUGACUGGUCGCCGUCCCCCGGCGCUCCCUCGGCCGCCGCUCGGCCGCCGUUGCCCCAUGAGCCCAAGCCAAGUCUCACGGGCUCAUCCCUCUCCAUCGCGCCACCGGCCGCCUCCCGCCGUAGGCCAGCUCGUGCUCAGGCCCCCUCCGACCUGCCGCAGCCUCCCCCUGCCGGCGCGCCUGCCAUCCGGCCGCCGCCGGCCACCCUAUGCUCCACCAAGCUCCGGUGAGUAUAUUUAGUAUUUUCUUAGCACUGUUUGGGGUUUCGAUCGCUGUUUCAGCUAUCCGACGACACACUGACACUCCCAGAAGUGAGCACGACGAUCCUUGGUUUGUGUCGAUCAUCGUUCUCACCUCCUUUGGGGUCCGUGAAGCCCUGGAUUGCGAGAUAAGCGCCGUUUAGGCACUGUGCGAGCUGUUCACAGAAAUUUUUCCUUGCUUUUGCGCUCUCCACAAUGGUCGGCCUUGCUCUAAAGCGCGAGAACGGCCUCCGGCACGUCAAGACCUGUCAGCGGGUGUCUCAACCAAGCUCGAAAGUCCUCGGUUUGCGCUGUCGGGCUGUAAAACCCAAAAAACCACAUGAAAUAAUGUGAUUUUAGACAAUCGCGGGGGCUUAUUUGUAAAUGUACGUUUUGUGGCUGCUGUGGGUAGUGUGUGCGGGCAGCGGAUGACCUCUGGACUAGUUGUCCAAGGCCUUAGGGCUUUUAGGAAAUCGAAUGUCGAUUUUCGGUGCGUUUUUCGGUGAAAUCUGCCGACAGAACGCGAUUUCGGUUCAGAAUUCUUCCGACGGUACCUCACUGUAGAUCAUGUUGUCGUUGAGCCUUGUUGGCUAGCCAACCGCGUCGUUUCGAGGGUUUGAAGACGAUGGGUGAGCGACAGUGGGUUCCAGUGUCGAAAUUGACACUUUCGAGAACCCAGAUCGGAACAGUUAUCCGACGAUAAUCGUUUCGAUGUGAGGAUAUGUGUUUGCUGCCAAGUCACACAAAUUAUUUUGUUUAGUGGCAGCGGGUGACUUGUGGCACGAGUCGGUGAGUUCCGGGACAGUUCGUGCGUCUCGGCAGAGUCUCGGUGCGAUUUUCGGGACUUCCGGCGAGUUAUGGUAAUCGAUUUUGGGAAACCGAUCCCUGGAUUUAUAGAUGGGAUUGUGAGUUAGUGGUUCUUAUCUGGGUUGGAUUUUAAUCCGGUGGACCCUUCGUAGGUCCGGUUGAUAUUCUUCCGCAGUUGGAAGAAUAGUGCUACGUACAUACGGGUGGGUACUUCAACCCAAAGUCGGUACAGUGGUGCACACUCGGUGACAUCUUUUUACCAUUUUUCCUGUUAUUAUCCUGCAUAUACGUUACGUUGAGCCUAGCACUUUUGUUAUUCCUUUUACGCUCUACUUUGUUGUUUUCAUGUUUAGUAUCAUGAGUAGAAGUAGAGCAGAUUUAUGAUUACAUGUGAGAUCUGUAACCUAGUCGGUCGGUUCUUGUAUCUCGUACUGUGACGUAUUUGGUCGAUUCAUUGCAUCUGUUAUUGUGAUCUACUUGGUGGGUUGGACUACUUGGUGACCUACACGAUCAGUAUACCUUGAGGGAUUGGAUUGUCGGCUAGUUGCUGAUAUUUGGCUAUUGAGCAUAUCAGCAUCGAUCGCCACUGCUCAUACGCAUUUUACGAACACCAGCAGUCUGAUCCACCGCAAGAAGAUAUUCUUUUCCGAAAAAGUGGUUCGGAAUGUCAGUCCGUAAGCCCAAGAGUUUAUGCUGGGGUUAUAUACUUUCAGACCGAAGAGCUUAUACUUGGGUCAUUUACGGUUUAGAGCAAUUGUGGCACAGGCCUGAGGUGUGUGGACCAACAUGGCUGAUUUCUGAUUGGAUACUUUUGGACUAGUCGUCCAGUUGAUGCAUGCAUACAAUAGUAGUAGUGGUUUAUAUAUGUUUCCCGUUUCUUUGUUUAUCAUUGCUACUGUAUUACCGUUUUCUAUACCUUUGUUUAUCCUCCUUGACUGGUGAGUACCCCUCGCGCUCGUCGGCUUGCGGUGCCCACCAGGAAGGGAGACAUGUGUACAUGUUCUCACCCCCCAUCUCCUUUUAGGUGACGUCGCGGGUCCGAGUGGGGACGGUUCACGAGGCACACAACUUAGCAUUUGAUAUAGCUAUCGGCCCGUCGUUUUGGUUAAACUUCUCAAACCUGCCUUUUUAAUAAUUGACUUACUAUUAAUGGUUCAGUGGUUUUCUUUAUUUGAAUAAUUGAGAUUUUGCGAAUGUAAUAAAGGAUUUAUGGACUUCUUACAAAAUGAAUAUGGUUUUCUACCUCGCGUGGUAGUGCGUUUUCAAAAGAAAAUGUUUCCGUGUUGGAAACGAUUUUAAAAAGAGUUAUUUUUGCUUUCAUGAUUCUUAGUGUUUUAAAAUAAGUUUUCGGAUAGAAAACAUUUUAAACUAUUAGAUGUGGAUGUGAAUAUCUGUGAUGAAAUAAAUGGUAAUUGUGAUGUGCUUAAUGUAUGUAGAUAUUCAUACAGUUAUUGUUGUAUCUUGUACAUGUGCGAUGCCGUGCAAAUACAUGAAAGAUUCUGUCCGUGUGAACAGUGGACUCCCUGUAUUUGUGACGGAUUUGGUAUACCCUGGGAGUCAAGGUUUUUUUUUUAAAAAAAAAAAAUUUGAGCACUUCCCCAGUGGCUGUUAAAGCCAAAGGACUCCACGGUGUGACACCCAUUCGUGUCCCCUGGAUUGCGGUGCCCUCCCCUACCUUUAAUGUUACUCACUUUUGGUGGUUCACCUCGAAUGCCCUCGGUUCGCUCCCGCUCAGGUACUUUCUUUGCCAAAGUGAUUGCAGAGUUUAGAUCCUUCACAUUUCGCCUCACGAACUCUUUAUUCAUCUAUGGUUGAAGGCCAUCCAGGAAGAAGAACAAUCGAUCCUCAUUGGCUAUGUUGGAGAUUGCAAACAUCAAUUUUGAGUAUUCUUGGACAUACUCCUUGAGUGUCCUACGAUGUUUGAGCUGUCGAAGUUGCCUCCACAUAAUAUGUUUGAUUUGCUCAUGGUAGAACUGCUGCACCUUGAGCUCGCACAUGAAAUCCUCCCAAGCGUUGAGUUGGCAGCAACCCUGCUCCACCUCCGCCGAUCGUUGACGCUACCACAACAUGGCAUUAUCAGAGACGUACAUGGCUGCGAUUUGGACCUUACCCUCCUUGUCCUCUAACAGCAAUGCUUUGAGAUAUAGCUCCAUAUGCUAAAAAAAAUUAUCAAUCUCCUUCUAAUCUUGUGUACCCUUGAAGUGUUGGGGGUUCAGGGACGCGGACCUUCAAGGUGUGCUCCUUUCAUGUCUCGACGCCACGAGCCACCGCUUUCUCAAGGAUAGUCAACCCACAUUUUGAGGUCCUCGACCUUGUCAAUGUUGGUGACAAGGUCCUCCAACAAGGCCUUCUGCUCAUCCUCGCAACGAGCGAGGUCGCUGCCGAACUGUUUAAGCUGAUGGCGAAAAGUUGCCAUGGCAACCGUGACGUUGUCCUCCAUGACAUUUAGCCCUUCCUCCAUCAUCCCCAUAUAUUGGGAUAGGACAGAGUAGUGCUCCUCUACUCUCGCAGAUGAGUCCUCCAACAAGCCCAUGCAGUCCUUGAGCGGACAAAACUCCUUCGCAAGGAUCUGCGGCUCUUUGUUCUUGCUGCGCUUGGGCACUCUAGGUUCAAGCACAGUGUCAACGAUGGCAACAUCCAACGUAGACAUGGCUUUCAAGCUCCAAACUCGCUUUGAUGCCAACUGUCAUAGACUUAAACGAAAUCACUUGUCUAGCCUAUGCGGUGCUUGCCUUCCUUCGUGAAGUGAGUAAGCCUAUCUCUCAACUUGCUAAGUUGGGACCCACUCGUCCUAAAACUAAGUACAAAAGAGAGAGUUUUUGAGGAAUGUUGUGUACUGAUAAGAGAAAGAUAAAGGAUUACAAUUAAUUUUCUGAGGAGUGAGGGUGGAGGCCACAACUUUUGACCCUUCGGCAUCCGCGUCAUCAGUCUUGAAACUCGCAUAAAAACUUUUAGUAUGUCCCAGCAAAACCUCCGAUAGAACUUUCCUUUAAAGUAUAGGCGAUUGCAAUGGAAAAGUCAGCAGAAAAUACUUUGUCCGUGAUAGCAGGCUCCUUCACGGGAUCCGUCACUAGUAAUGUACGAUAUGCUAGCUUUACACCUGGUGCAAUACGUAGGGGCUGUGGAGGCUCUCAAUUUAUGUACAUCGCCUAAUUUAGUAUUGGACGGAUGUAGUGCACUAUAUAGUAGAUUAGAGAAUUUUAAUUUCCAAUUUAACAGUAUGUUGGAAACUUUAUAAUUUAUGAUAUAUAUAUAUAUAUAUAUAUAUAUAUAUAUAUAUAUAUAGAGAGAGAGAGAGAGAGAGAGAGUGAGAGGCGAGAGAGAGAGUAUAGUUACUAUGCUAUCGGAAGCAUAGAGGAUCUGGUGCUUUCGAAUUUUUGGCCCUUAGAUCAACCUCUUUGAUCAUUUUUAACCUUUGAGUUAAUACUAUUAUCUUGUAGGGACCACUCAACCCUUAAGGUACUACUCAACCUUAGAGAGGACCGCAACCAUCCCGAUCGUACAAUUCUUGAUCCAAGGGUCAAAAAAGUCGGAAGCAUUAACUCCUCUAUACUUCCGAUAGCAUAGUAGCUCCACAACACACACAAAUAUAAUCUUUUCGCAUGCCAUUGAAUCUAUCAUAAUAAUUUGAACUAGUGAAGUUACCCAUGCGUUGCGGUGGACUAAUGCUAUAGAAGGCAGAAGAUUAACAAAGUAAAAAUUUUAUUUUUUUUUGAAUUGCCAUAAAGCAUUAAUAAAUAAAGAUAAUAUAUAUUAAUAUAUAUACAAAUAGAAGAGAUGAAACAUAUAUAAGUACAAAUGUAACAAAACUUACAAUUUUAGUAAAUAAAUUAUAACAAUAGUAAUGAAAGAAAUAGCAAUAGAAUUAUUACUCCAUAUGCAUCUUGAUCACAUUGCCGACAUCGAGAAGACGAAUCCCGAUCUCCACAUCACCUUUGCCUCCAUUGUUGACGUCGACCACCUUUUUCGUCACAGUCACGUCGAUCACAUACGGAUCUCUCCAAACCUACCACUUCUUUCUCCUCAGUGACUCCAAAUAUAUCUCUGCUUUCCCCUGCGAUGCCGCGCCACAAUCCGCGGAACCCUAAUUUCAGUCCACAUAUAAUUCAAAAAUAGGAAGAUAAAAAGCUUAAAAAUAUUACAAGCGACAAAAAAAGAGAAAGAAGAGUACGAAGAAAUCUUAUUUUACUUUUUUUUUUUCUUAUGACAGCAAUUUGUUUAUAUGAAAUUGGAUCGUGUGACCACAUUAAUUGGGAGGUAAGCGGUUGGGAAGAUGAAGUAUCGUGUAGAAAUGGGGUAAGAAGAUGAAUCAUCAAAAAGUAAGAAGAUCGAAGAAGGUAAGGAUGAAGGAGGGACUGCCACGUGGCAACUUCAUGGAAAAUAAUAUAUAGGUAUAGAUAGAUGUUAAUUAUAAAUCCUCUAUAAAUGAAAUUUAAAAGUGUAAUACGCACUCCAAUCAUCAAGUGCAUGUAAUAACUACGCCAGCUACAUUAUAAAAAGGGAAAACUUUAAAUACCACAACACUUUCUCUUUUUACUACUCUGUGAUUUAAGCUGUAUCAUCAUUUUAUUACACUAUGGUUUCGUUUUUUUUCUUUCCGUUAUUCCCUCAAUCAAUUUUUCUGUUAAAUCAGUAAAAAAUUAAAACACAGGAUACUAAAGUAAAAAAUUUUGCAAACCACAUAAUACUAAAGUUAAUAUUCGAUAAAUUACAGGAGGAGUAUCUAAGUUUUUUUAUAUUUUUUAACGUAGAUGUAACGGAGGUGCCGAUAGAAAGAGAAAAAUAAAACCACAGGAUACUAAAGAGAUUCAUUUUAGACCACAUGGUACUAAAGUAAGAAAAUGCUAAACCAUAUGGGAGAUAUUUGAAGUUUCUCUUUAUAAAAAUAUAAUGUAUGCUGCAAUUAUUACAAAAUUUGUACAUUAGAAUAAUCAAAAUAACUCUCUCCAUUGUAUGUUCCGUUAUCAAUAACAGGAAUAUCCGUUGAGAAUGAAAUUAGCAAAAAAAAAAAAGAAAGUUUUUUCCUCAUUUAAUAACAUAACUUAAUUAAAUUAACAAAAUUCUCAAAAUCACGUAUAUAAAGUAGCAAGUUUGUAAAUACAGCUCCCAAUUGUGUGAAACUUAAUAAAUAAUUUAUAGUUAUAGUACUUUCUACUUUAUGCAACCAAAAAAGAUAAUGUGGUCUAAACUCUUGCAUUUUAAUUGCAUGUAUUUUUAGUUACAUUAAUUGUAAUUAUAAUUGCAUCCAACCAAAUGGCACUUCAACGUAGCGAAUCCUCGACGCUCGAGAGAAAGAGAGGAAAAAAGAGAGAGAGAGAGAGAGAGAGAGAGAGAGAGAGAGAGCAGGACAGAGGGGGGGGCUGGGGGUAGGAGAGGGAGAGAGGGGGUGAGAGAAGUAGAGAGAGGACCACGGGGAGAAGAGAGAGAGAGAUGAGAGAGGAGAGAGAGGGGCGAGAGACGAGAGAAGGUCUCUCUCUCCCUCUCGCUUCAGCGUGGGGGUGCUGCCUCCCGCACAUGCCCACCCUCCCUUCCCGCCUCUCCCCCGGUUCUCCUCACUCCUCUCUUCCCUCUCGCCUCUCCCCGCACAUGCGUCGGAAGACCGCGCGCACCAGGCGGGUGCGGGCCGCCCGGGGGGGUUCCGGCCCUGCACCGCGCGCACUCUUCCCCCCUCCUCGUCUCCUCAUUUACCUCUCCUCCACCACGGCUCCCCGCCCCCCCUCAUUGUCACGCGUUCUCUCACCCGCUAUUUUCCUACCCCCCGGUCUCUCUGCUCUCCCCCCUCUCCCCAGCGGGCGGCAGCAGGAACUGGAAGCGGAGGCGGGGCCGCGGGUGGGUGGAUUAUAAUAAGAUAAAAAUAAUAGUUGAAUUUGCAUAUAAAUAAGGUAAAUUUCAAUAUGCCUCUUGUUGUGAUCAUCUCGGGUUCAAAAAUUGCCCUUAUACUAAUAUAUCUUGAAAAUUAAUGCUUGUAUUUUAUGCUAAAAAAUAUACAUACUAUCAAAUAGGAUAGGCAAAGUAAAUCCUUUGAUAACCACAUGAUAGUUAAACAUAAUUUUUGAAUGCACAGAAUGGCAAGAUAUGAAAUGGGAUUUCAAACAUAUGAUAAUUUUAAUGUGUAAUUUUUGGGACUCUUAGUGCAUGAUUAAAUAAAAAUAAGUCCAACAACAUGGAGGCAAAUUAAAGUUUACUCUGAAAAAAUUUUUAAAAAAAAAGUUCUUGCCGUAAGGCAUGUGGCCUUUCGGUAGUGAUGCAACAUGCAUUAUUAAUGACUGACUGUAACCGACCGUCCUAGCGCAAGUGCCAAAGAAUUUAGUGGAUUGGUACCCGAGGUCCGCAAGUUCUGAACGCGCCUAGUUGAUUCACAUUUCUAGCUAAAGUUUAUUUCUAAAUGAAAAUAGAGAAAAAGGCGGAUUUUAGUAUGCUUACUUAUCUCUAAAAAAAAAAAAAAAAAAAAAAAAGACUGACAUGGGAUGAGAAGUACCUGUCAAGCUAUAUGUUGCAGAAUGUUGUAGACUCCGAUAUGUAGGUGAACAAAUUAAUGCAAAUGCUCUUUUUUGACUAAGCAUGCAUGGGACCAUUUGAGUAGGAGAAGGAUCAAUUCAUUUAGUAGUGGGGCUAGAAUACUAGUAAUAGUAGCUACCGAGUUAUUAAUUGCCACCAAUUUUUCAGCUCUUGAAUCCAGUCACAAUAGUGGUGAACUCUCUACUGUGCAUGGAUCAAAGGAUCAAAAACUAAAUAGUAACUAGUUUUUGCUACUAUUGCCAACUACUAUAGAAAAAAAAAAAAGAAAAAGAAAAAAAAGAAGCAAAGCUAUUCAUUUUACACACCUAAAAAGGAGUAUAAAUCAUAAGUUGCACGUAAUUAAAAAGUGAGAUUUUUUACAGGUCAUAUUAUAUGACAAGUAAACAAAUUCGAUCUGCCCAUUAGAUAAAUGUGUGUACAGUAUAAACUUUCAGAUCGGGUGUAUGUAUUGCUUUUUCUAGAAAAAAAAAGAGAAGAAAAGGAAGACGCUACUUUAACUUUCAGGUCUUGUCGUCUAAGGUAUCAUUUGAUUCGAAAAUAAUUUUUUAUCAUCACAUGCAAACAUGGCUUUAGCAAGCCACGAUAUGGUUUAAUAAGUUGGCAUGCACUAUCUAUCUUUUCUUUCUAUAAACAUUUAAAAAGAAAAUUGAAAUAACACACGGCGACACGCGUACCCCAUCCACCCUUCUCCUCCAUUACGAGAAAAAUUAUCUUUCUAUCCCUAAUUUAAAUUAAUUUAAUUAAUAACCGGGAUAAGAAACUUCUAUCAAAGUAUACAUAAAUAAACUAAAUUUACUGCUAAAAAUAUUUUAUAUCCGCCAAAUGUAAGAUACAAUUAAUUGAGUUAAGUGAGGAUGCUACUAAUAGAACCAUCACCUUAAUUUGUAGUGUAAAAUCAUUUUUAGCGAUGGGACAUUUGAAUCGAUAAUUAACAUAUCCAACACGGUUUGAAACAUUAGAACUUUCCAAAAAGCAAGUGUGAUAAUUUGUAAGAAUCAUUUUCAACUUCAAAAAGCAACCGCAAAGCAAACAGUUGAAAUCGAACAAUCUAAUCUUAAACCACAUCGCAUGCCAAAAUAUAUAGUCAAUUUUGUAGCACCUUGAUCACUUAUAAGUAAAAAAAAAUCUGACAAUGUUAGUUCUUGUAUAUUGUGAAAAUUCCAUUAUGUAGUAUAUAAUUGAUACAAACAUCAAGCGUGCAAUUUCAAGUAACUUGAAACCUAACUUGGUAUAAAAUUUAAAUCUUUAUCAAAUUCCUCAUUUUUGUAUACAUAUAUCCACCAUGCAGUACAGACGCAACUAGCUGAAGAAGAAGACAUUAAUUAGGAAAGCGCAUGCAGAUCCGAAAAGCUAUUUUAUACUACAAAUCGCACUACACAUGAGAUAUAUAAACUCAUGAACAUCACAUCCUCUUCUAGCUCUAGUUCUAGUUCUAGUUCUAGACUUAAAAUAAAAAUAAAAAUAAAAAUAAAAAUAAAAAAUCAGAACCGUUUCCAUCGGAACCUGGUCUUGUCAAUGCUACUAAUUUACAAUGUUAACUAAUUAAUUAGCUUUGUUAUUGUAAGCUACAACAACCCUAUUUUCGGUGGUAGUAGGAGCUCUAAAAUGUAGAUGGAUAUUUACAGAAACAAAUUUGUUCGAUCUGAUCAUAAUGCAAAUUAACAAUGGUACGUAGUAUUAAAUAUUACCUAUGGCGGCUAGCUAGACAUUAGUAAUUUGACGCCUUGGAAGCCUCCGACUGCGAGAUCGACGUGGACGACGAGGAAGUCGUCCGCGGCCGCGAGAAGAAAUCGGACUCGUCGAAGAGAUCGAGGAGGCGGCGGCGCCCGCAGUCGCGCGCGCCGUCGAGCGCCCGGAGCAGCGCCUCGGCCUUGGCCUUCCCCCGCGCGCUGCCGCCGCCGCCGCCGCCGUCCGCCAGCUCCCUCACGACGUCCUCCGCGCCCUCGACCUCCCGGACGUCCCCCGCGGCCUUCUCGCCGCCGGCCAUGACGAGGUUGAGCAGCGCGGCGGCGGCGUUCUCGCGCGUCCGGGCGGUGGCCCCCGUGGCGGGGUCCAGCAGGUCGACGAGCACCCGCACCCCGGCCACCCGGCGGAAGGCGUCCACGCUCUCGGCGCACCCGGCGACCUGCGCGACGACGGCGGUGGUGUCCUCGACCAGGCCGCCGCGCCCGACCUUGACCACGAGCGAGAAGAGCGCGGGCACGGCGCCGAGCUCGACCAGCGCGGGGCGGUUGAGCGGGUAGAGCGCGACGCCGAAGAGCGCCUUGAGCGCGUCCUUGAUGGAGCGGGUGGGGGCCCCGGGGGCGCGGAGGAGCCCGACCAGGGACGCGAGGAGCGGCCGCUUCGACCCGAUGAUGGGGCGGUAGGCCUCCACGGCCAGGAGGCUGUAGAGCGCGGCGGCGGCGUGCUGGGCCGCGCCGGCCGACGACGGGUGGCGGAGGGCGGCGCCGAAGGCGUCCAGGAUCCCCGGCGUCGACAUGACCGCCUCGCGCUCCGAGAUCGAGAGGUUCAGGAGCGCCGCGGCGGCGUCCUCGUGCGAUGCGGCGGCCGAGUCCGAGAGCAGGCGCGCGGCGAGGAGGGGGAUCGCGCCCGCGUCGGCGAGCGGGGCGCGGGUCUCGGGGUCGUGCUUCGACAGGAGCCGGAUCUCCGACACGGCGGCGCCGACGGACUCCUCCUCGUCGUCGGCGGCNGCCGCUGGACCAGCGAUCGCGCCGUGCGGAGCUUCACCUCCAUCCCUACCCACAACCACGCCCCCAAUAAACAAUAACACCAAAAAACAAAAAACAAAGCCCUCUCUUCUCCUUAAUUAUGAUUAAUUAAUUAAUUAAUUAAUAGCUAAACAUUAGAGCGGAGAAAGAAAAGAAACGUUGUUUUCUUAAAACGUAAUGCGCGAUGUGUCACGCUUUAGCGAGAGGGAAUCGGACGAUUAAGGAAGACCUCUCACGAAACAGGAAACAGCGAUUCGGACUUCUCUCAAAUGAAAAGCGAACGCGUGUGCGAAAAUGAGUGGGGCCCCGUCGAAUUUCUCGGAAAUUCAAUUUUUUUUUUCGGUUACUUGUAUUAGUGGGGGAUUAAUAAAAGGCUCGGAGAAUCAUUAUCGGGUUAAGUGAGGACGCGGACCUAAUUCGAUGCGCGUGGACGGAUUCCCCCCCCAGUAUAUAAGGGGUGAGAAAUGUCGAGGGUUAGUUUGGUACUAACGUCAUUUUAAGCUAUUAAAUAAAAUAUAGUUGUGAUAAAAAUAUAUAAAAAUAUAUUUUUACAUUCUUUGAUUAAUCACAAAAAAUAUAUCAUAACCGAUUUAUCGCGAUAUGCGGAAUAUAAUAUUACGUACGAAAAUAAACAGAAUAUUUUUUUUCUUAUUUUUUCACAGUAUGUAACGCAAUCUUUCCAUAAUUCCAAACGAAAGCUAAAUCUAUAACUAAAACCAACAUUUAAAGUGAUAAGAGUAAUAGAGAAAAAAAUAUAUUUUUAGAUGAGGAUGUUGGAGGAUUAUAAUUUACUUUGAGUUGUGGAUCUAUCAAGGCAUGCACAUAAGAUAUUAAUUAAAAUUAUACAAUUCUCUCGUGGGAUAAACCUACUCGUUUCAUUCAUUUUUUAUUAAAAAAAAAAAACUCAACUAUAAAUAUAAAACAAGUAGGAUUUAAAUUUGAAAUCUCAGUACCGACCAACAAAGUUUUACUUUAGUUUUUCUUUUUUAUUUAUUUAAGUAUUUUCUGGUCUUUUAGAUUUAUAUCAAAUUAGCUUAUUUUAUAAUUUUGAUAUUAAUUUAGUAAUUAAUGAAGCUAAAAUAUUUUUGAUAGUAAAGAAAUAAUAUUUACUAUCUACUGCAUGUUUAUCAUCCUUUAGAUGUCUAUGAAUUUGUGGUGGUAUAUGAAAACCUAUAAAUUUGAGGGCUAUAAAAAAAAAUAUUCUGAAUAUUCAAUAAGUAUUUUCGAAUCCAUAUAUACAUUAAAAAUUGGAAUUAGACUUACAAUUCUGCAAUAUAGAUAGAUCAGUUUCUUUGAACAAAACUUGUUUUAACUUUAAGGCCCUCUUCAGAUGGCUGAAUAAGAUAUCUAAUAUCUAAUAAUAAUUAUUUUUAUGUGAUUAGAAAUAGAGAGUUUAUUUUUUAAAAAAAUACGUUUUUCGAAAGGCCUUUGGCCAGCAUGAUUUCGUAGGAUAAUAUAUUUUAUCUAUUACGCAAUUUAUUUUAUUUUUUAAAAAAUAACUUAAAGACUAAAUAUGAUAUUUAUUCUAUAUAUUUGACAACAAUUCUCUUGGAUCAAUUACUUCUUCAAUAAAUUUAGAUAACAUAUUUAAGUAUCCAAAUAAACCUACAUGACUUUAAUUUUAAAUAUCUUAUUAAAGCAUACAAACCUAGUAUCCACAUGUUUUUUUUUUUUUGUCAAAAAAUUUACAAUUGAUGAUUGAAUGGGCUAAUUAAAUGUAUUUAGAAAUAUAAGUCCAUGAAAUGUUAAGUUUAUUUUCGAAAAAAUAUGGACCGCAAUGAAAUUUAGUACAAAUGUCGGGGCAACCUUUUUAAUUUAAGGUCUGUUUGGUUCAACGUAAAACUGUGAAAAAUAAUUCUUCGUAAAAAAAAAUUUUGUCGGAAAUUUUUUUUACAUUUUAUAGUGUUUAUUUUGUAGAAAAAAAAAAGUAUUUAUAUAUAUAUAUUUAUUUUGUUUGGUACAAAAAAAAGAAUGUAAAGAGGUUUAUCCUGCUUAAGUUUUCAUUUUUCGUCGAACAAUAACGAAAAAUAAAAAUUUUAAAUUUUUUUAAAUUUGUAAAAAUAUUUAUUAUAAAAAUAUUUUUAUGCUGAAUCAAACAAAGUAAGAAAAUAUUUUUUAUAUAAAAAAUAAUUUUUCAAUUAACUUAACAAGCCUUAUUGACCUCCGCGGGGGCAAAGUUGGAAAUAGGGAUGCGGUUCUGAGGAAAUGAUACGGGACAAAGGUUGGUGGAGGAGAUGGGAACGGGGGACAAGUAAGCGGGUGGGAAAAGCAGGGCGACCAAUCUUGGAACCUCUCUGACUAAUUUGCUCCGCUGGUGUCAUAACUACGACUACUUUGCGUGCAAAUGACGCUUUAAUGGGAGCAAUUAAUUAAUUAAUUAAUUAAUUGCCCGGUUCGUGGUCUACCACGUGAUCAUCGGAUUUGACUAGUGGAAAGUAUAUUAUGGAGAUAAUUUUGAAAGAAAUGCCACGUGGAUACCUAUAACAACUAGGUAUUAAUCUAACACCUCCAAGUAGAUACGGUAAACAGACUGGAUAACCGGCGGCUGGAUCAUUAUAUCUAUGGAUCGUAUAAGUAUGAAUAAAAUUUAUUCAUAAAUUUUUAGAUAAUCAAUAUUUUUAUUCAGCCUACAUGCGGACGGGCGGGUAUGCGGAUUACUGGCAAGUUUUUCUUUUUCUUUUUUAUUCCUAUACUUUUCAAAUAUAAAACCUAUAUAUAAAACUUUCAAAAACAUAACAUAAUUUCUUAUUUGAAAUAUCAUAACAUAUAAUAAAUAAUAUAAAAUCAUAAAAAUAUUUUAUCAUACUGAGUUUUCAUGAUACAAAAUUAAUAAAUUUUUUUAUCAUUAUAGAGUCAAUAUUAUAAAUAUUACAUAUUUUUUUAAUUUAAAAAUGUAUAUCCGGGUAGCCGUGGAUACCCGCAGAUUGCCUAAAAUACCCACUAUUUAACGGGUAUCCAUCCGUUUUAUCUAUAAUUUUUUGAGUAAGAAAAAUUAGAAUUCCUAGCCACAAAUUUGCGAGUAACCCACGGGCAUCCGCGGGUAUAGGUAGAAAUUGCCAGGUCUACCUCCAAGCAUCUAAAGAUUGGUAAAAAUUCUUUACAUUUUUAGUUCUAAAAAGUAUUAAUACAAUAAGUAGAGAAUUGGAACCCUUCAUAAAAAUAGUGUAAGAUUUAUAUAUAAUCUAGAGGUGUAUCCUCGGCAUUACUUGAUAAUUUUUAUUUGAAAAAUAUUAUCUGUACAUCUAUAAUAUAGGUGUAAACUUACACUCUUGAUAUUUAAGAAUUUGCAAAAAUUCUUUAAAAGAGUUUUAGGGUGUGUUUGGUUCGAAGUCGGAAUGGAAAUCGGAAACAGAAUGGAAAUAAGCUGGAAUCGGAAUCGGAAUGACUAUUUAUCUCAUUCUGUUUGAUUCGCCACCUGAAUCGGAAUCAAAAUAAAUCAUUCCUAUUGUCAGUGUUUGGUUCAGAUAGUUAUCAGAAACGAAAUCAAAUUAAUAUACCAAUUUUACCCUUUAUAAUAUAUUUUAAUUACUUUUAAUUAUUUUGAAUACUCUAUUUAAAAUUUAAAUGAGUAACUUACAAAAUAAUGAAUAAAAAGUAAAAACAUUUUAUAUUUUAUGUUAUUUAAUAUGAAAUUAAACUAGUUAUUAUUAUUUUUAUUAUAAUAAUUACAUGAUAAUAUAUAAAUUAUAAAAUUUCAUAUGACUUAAAUAAAUAGAAGAGUUAACAAGGAAAAAAAAAAGCAUGGUCUUAAUUAUAAUUAUUAGUGUUCAAAUGAUUUUUUCUUUUUUUCUUUUUUUUUUUUAAGUCCAAUUCAUGUAUUUUAGGAUAAUAACAAAAAAGUAGAUAAGAAAGAGAUUAGAGAGAAAAGUGCGAGGAAUUCUUACGGAUGAAGCUUGGGGAGAUCGAGCGGCGCGGGCAAGCGAGGGAGAGACGAGUGGCGUGGAGCGAGGUUUUUUUUUUUUUUUUUUAAGUUGUACCGAUGAAGGUUAUUUUAGUAUAAGAUAAUUAAGUCGGAAUUCAAUUUUCAAUCCGGGGUACGAGGCCGGAUUCAUUUCUACCCGGAUUAGCCCAUUCCCGUUCCGAAAUGGAAACGGAAUCGGAAUGAGAUUACGGCAUACCAAACAUCUAGAAUUGGAAUGGAUCAUUCCGAUUCCGAUUCCGAUUCCAGGGUUAAUAUUUAGCGAAUCAAACACGCCCUUAGUUUAAAAACCAGAGAAUGAAUUUAGAUCUUUGGAUAGAUGAAGUGUAAAUUUUAUCCUUAAUCUAAGGAAUGUACAGCCGUACAGCUAGUAUUGCUAUUUUUCUUAUAGACUGUAGCUAUACAGAGAGUGGGAAAAAUGCUACAUGCAUACCUAUUUGUAUAAAUCUUAUACUUUAUUUUAGGAUUGACAGAAAAUUAAAUAGAUUUAGUAAAGAAAAAAAAGAAAAAGUUGCUAGGACUAGAGAGAAACAAUGGGUCUUUGGAUAGAUGGGAUGCACAAUGCACACAUAGGCCUAUUUUGAUAAUGUAGUGGCUAAAAAUAUAAAUAUAUUUAUACUAUAGAAGAAUCAAAAAAUUUUAGAAAUGCUUACAAUUUUUCUUCCUCCAAUAUUUAAAAAUUGCUUUGGUGGGGCGGCUCUUAUCACAAUCAUUUUAUAUAGAAACAAAAAUACUAAAUUAAAGAUCAUGUUAGAUAAAAGUACAAGAACAAAUUUUUUUUAGUAGUGGUACCUAUGUAUUUCAAAGAUGGUGUAAAUUAUACACUCUACAAAUUUUAAGGAUCGGAUUUUCUCACUAGUCACAUUAAUAUAACUAGUUAAGAUAUCUCAUCUCAGGAUAGGUGGGAUGUAUGAUUAAUACUCCAAGAAAAAAUAUACCUAUAGUAUUUCUUAAUAUUUUUAGCACAAUUAUUUUAAUAUAAAAGCUUUUUUGUAUAAAAUAUUCACAGGUUUUACAAUUUUGCAAAAUCAAACUGUUUUUCUAAAUUUUGCAUAUUUGGGCUGGAUAUUUAAAAAGUGAUCAAAUUAUCUUUAUUUUUUUUCACUCUUAUUUCUCUCUUAUACGUUUCUCUCCCCCUGCUUAAUCUCUCUCCUUCUUCUCCUCCACCGCUCCGAUAUUGCCAUGCUCCUUUCAGCCUACCACGCCAACGUCUCCACCGCCGCCGUUGCGUUUCUACCAGCUUAUCUCAUCCCAAUAAAUAGACAGCAAUGAGGUCAUUCUGGAUGAAGAGCUCUAUGGCAAGGCCUCAGCGAAGGACGUGGCCGUGGAUGGUGACGGCUGCGAGAGUGCUAUAGGAUUUAAGAACAAUGAGGAUAGAGAGUGUGUCGGGACAAGAGCAGGGGAAAUAGUUGUAGAACAUGCGAUGGAAGAAAUAGAGAGCUAGGAAGGGGACGUCGUAGUGCGAGAAGAUGCAUAGUGCAGAGGAAAAAAAAAAGAAAAAAGAAGAAAGAGAAAUAAAUAUAUAUAUAUAUAUAUAUAGAGAGAGAGAGAGAGAGAGAGAGAGAGAGAGUUGGACUAGAAUACUAUUGAUAGCAAAAUGCCCUUUUGCUAUUAAGUUUUUAGCUUUCGGAUCAAUUUCUUUCAUCAUUUCUAACCAUUGGAUUAAAUAUUAUAACCCAGUGGAAACCACUCAACCCUAGGGAGACCACUCAACUCUAAGGAACUAAUAUGAUCCUAACCCUACAAUUUUUUAUCCAAUGGUUAAAAACUUCAUAGCAAAAAGGGUAUUUUGCUAUCAAUAGUAUUCCAGCUCAACUAUAUAUAUAUAUAUAGAGAGAGAGAGAGAGAGAGAGAGAGAGAGAGAGAGAGAGAGAGAGAGAGAGAGAGAGAGAGCAGGGCUGCUGUGCUCUCAGGAGCACGAGGCCUCCGUGCUCCUGAGGCCCGUUUCUGUGAUGGAAUUUUCGAAUCGCACGAUCGGCUCUGUUAGAUUGAUUAGCGCAGUUUGAAGUUUCUGAAAUAAUAUUUUUUUGCAUUUUUGAUUAUCAUUUACCUAUUGCAUCGAAAGAAUCAAAAUCCAUAUUUUAUGGUUGUAGAUUGCCGUUUUCAAGUUUAAACUUAGAAAAUUUAAUCAGAUGAAUUUGAUUACAAAUAAUUCUUAUAUACUAUCUACAAUCAGAUCAAUAAUUUCUAAUACGAAAAGUUUUAGUGCUAUAUCAACCACUUUUUAUAGGAUUUUAUUUUCAAGCGUAUUGCUUAAAAAAUUAUUAGAUUUUGAAUCCUUCUCGAUUUGCUAGGUAAUGUAUCGAAAUCGCAAAAAUUAUUUUCAAAAACUUCAAAUACGCUUAGAUCAAGUUUUAAUUACGAGCGAUCUCGAUUCGAAAACUCCAUCAUCGAAAGCGGGCUCGAGAGAGAGUAAGAUGAGUAGAUAGAACUUAGGCCUGCUGAAUACUAAUCAAUAGCACCAAAAUUAUGAUGCUAUUAGUUUUUGUCUUUGGAUGAGAAAUUGGUUUAGGAUGAUGUCGCGCCCCAGGGGUUAACGUGUGGUAUGUUGCGUUGAAUAGUAUAAAUUAACGGGUAUAAACAUAUAUCAAUAAGUGUUAAUCUUAACGGUAAAAAACUUGUAGGUACAAAGUCUUGUGCUUCCGAUUAGCAUAGCAGUUGGGAUAUAUUAUAUAAUAUAUAUAUAUAUAUAUAUUUAUAUUUAUAUAUAUAUAUGUAUAAUAUAUAAAUAUAUAUAGUAUAUAUAUAAAUUAGGGGGGUGGAAUAUUAUUAAAAGAGUAAAACGCCUGUUUUGCUAUCAAUUUUUAACCCUUGGAUGAAAAAUGUGAGGUCGGAUGAUAUUAGAUUCGGUUAGAGUUGAAUGUUCCGGCCUCAGUGUUGAGUGUGUCUCACUGGUUAUAGUAUUGAACAAUGAGUUAGAAAUAAUCAAAAGAGUUGAUCAAAGCGGUAAAACUAAUAGCAAUAAUGAGAUUUUGCUACUUAAUAGCUAGCCUACUAGUCCAACUCUAUAUAUAUAUAUAUAUGAUUAUAUAUAUAUGUAUAUAUAUGUAUAUAUGUAGUAUAUAUAUUAAUUAUAUAUGUAUAUAUUUAUGUAUAUAAUGAUGUAUAAAUAUGUAUUGUAUAUAUUACAUAUGUAUAUAAUACAUAAUACAUAAAUAUAUACAGUUACAUAUAUAAUAUCAUAGUUAAUUAUCAAUAUAAUAUAUUAAUAUAUAUAUUAUAUAAUAUGUAUAACACAUAUAUAUAACAUACAUAUAUAUAAUACAUAUAUACAUAACAUAUAUAAAUAUAUAUGAUCAACAUUAUAUUAUACAUCAUUAUAUUCACAUAUAUACAAUAUAUAUACAUAUAUACAUUAUAUACAUAUAAUACAAGAUUAGUAUAUAUUAGAUUAUAUCAUAUAUAUAUAUAUAUAUAUAUAGAUAUUUAUUAGAAUAUGAUAUAUCUAUAUAGUAUUAUAGUACAUAUGUAUGUAUAUGGUAUGUUGUAUAUAUAUUAUGUAUAUAUAUUUAAUAUAUGUAUGCAGCGCUAUAAUACAUAUGAUAUAUGUAUAUAUACAUAAUAUACUAUAUAAUAUAUGAUUAUAUAUAUAUAUUUAUAUUUAUUAUUAUAUUAUAAUAUAUAUAUAUAUAUAUAUAUAUAAAUUAGGGGGGGAUGGAAUCAUUAUUAAAAUAGUAAAACGCUCUUUUUCUUAUCAAUUUUUAACCCUAUGGAUUGAAAAAUUGAGGUCAGAUGAUAUUAGAUCGGUUAGAGUUGAAUGUCCGAAGACCUAGGUUGAGGGUCCUCACUGGGUUAUAGUAUUUAAAAUGGUUAAGAAAUAUAAAAGAGUGAUCCAAAGGUUAAGAACUAAUGCUAAUAUGGAUUUUGUACUUAAUAGUAGCCUAGUCCAACUCUAUAUUAUAUUAUAUAUGAUAUAUAUAUAUAUAUGCUAUUAGUAUGUAAUAUGUAUAUAUAUAUAUAUGUAUUAUAUAUGUAUAUAUGUUAUUCAUAUAUAUUGAUGUAUAUAUAUGUAUGUAUAUAUUACAUAUGUAUAUAUACAAUACAUAUAGUAUACAGUUACAUAUUACAUAUCAUAGUUAAUUAUCAUAUAUAAUUAUAUUAUAUAUAUAUAUAUAUAUAAUAUGUAUUAUACACAUAUAUAUAACAUACAUAUAUAUAAUACAUAUAUACUAUACCAUAUAUAAAUAUAUAUAGAUAACUUUAUAUUACUACAUCUUACUAUUAAUAUAUACAAAUAUAUAUAACAUAUAUAACAUUUAUACAUAUAUACAAUGUUAUUAUAUAUAUUAUAUUAUAUAUAUAUAUAUAUAUAUAUAUAUAUGUAUAUUUAUUAGAAUAUAGAUUAUAAAUUCUGAUAUAUAUGUAUAUGUAUAUAUGUAUGUAUAUUAUGUUGUAUAUAUAUAUACAUAUAUAUAUAUAUAUAUAUAUAUAUAUAUAUAUAUAUUCUUUUUCUUCUCGUCGGAAAGCCAUUGUGUGCUGUGGCCACUUCGAAAAUGUCACGCUCCGGAUUACCACAUUUCUCCGGGCAUGCCCAUAGACCCGCCGUAUACAUUGAAAUUUUCGAUGUAUACGAAGCGAUCGAUGUACUGGUAAUCAAAUCAUAGCUACAACCAGAAGUAUAGAGCUGCUAAACCGAAACAUGUAUAUAUAAAACAUAAAGGAGUUUCUGUACAUACAAAAGUCCACGACACAACUCGCUCCAGUGAGUACAACGACAACAUGAUAGUAUGUACACAAAAGCCUCAAAACUAUCUCUAACUCGCGACUCCCUUUCCACGGUCCAAGUCAGCAACAGCAGCAGCCGCAGACGAAGAUUCUGCAAAAGGUGUCAACAAUAGGGUGUAAGAACUACUAUAAAACAAGUAGUACUCAGUGGGUACCGCCACCGACCUUAACGGCCUACCCACUAAGUCUACAGAAAUAUGUGCAAAGGAUAGUAAGGAAAGCUGGAAGGAAAUCUACAGCUACAUGCCACUAUACUAUCGCUAAUCCACACAGGCUAUCUGUAAAUCUGACAAUGCAUCACACUAACCCAAUCUUACUAGGGACCGCGAUACGCCCGUCCCGCCUGUCUAAGCUACACCAUACACCACCACGAGGGCGGCCGAUGGAGAACGAGGUCCAAACCGGACUCCUCCGACAUCAACGCAAAGCAAGAUAGCCAGACUUCGGAGCGGCACUCGUGGGCGCGAUUCAACCGAGUAUGCAAACGUGUCUCUACUGAGCUCAAUCAGGCUCUCACGGGCUGUAGUCAAUUCAAAUAGGUCUAACUGGUCUAACAACCACAGUUCACGUGCCCUUAGCACAAUUUGAUGCAAGAUACAAAAAUCUGGAUUUACCGUCAACCGCGACGGCACCCAACAAUACGAGACAGUUUACACACAACUGCAAAACGAGCUCGGCCUCUCAGCACAAACGUAAAAUCAACCUACACUAAUCUGGGUAUCCACCUCACACUAAUAGCGGUGAUACAAAAAUAAACACAGCUCUUAAAGGUAAAUCUGAUAACUUUUCAAAAAAUGACAGUGUAGGAUUUAAUGGUUUUCUCCUAAGCCAAUUUUAAGUCCAACAUGUAAAACGAUUCUAAAAUUUAAGGCUCUAAACUCAGAUUUCAUAAAAGCUAUGUAAAUCGAUGAAUUGAGCUACUAUACAUGAUACUACACAAAACAUAUAUGCUGACAAAAUCUUGACUUAGGAGAAAUUCGACGAUUUCGGUAAAUAUUAACACACCUCGAGCGCUCGUCCAACGUCGGUUAGAAGUCGAUAAGAGGGAACCCACGCGCUCUCCCGACCUCCAACGACGUAACUGCGACACUCACGCGUACGAACGGUCCUCCGGAGCAACGUCGAAAUCCACCCGACCUCGAGCCGCGACCUCCACAACGUACAGUGCCCACCAACGAGAGAGAGAAAGGAAAAGAAGUAGAAUUUUCUUCUCUAAAGCCCUCUCUGAAAACAUAUAAGAUUGGGUAACGUUGGGUUGAACGACACAUCAAAGGACCAAACUACCCCUCACCAACUCAAAAAUACAGUUAGAGUACCGGUACUCCACUAGAAUACCGGUACUCAGCCUCUCAACCUGCGGUCUCGCACACUGGGUAUCGGUACCAACCCGAUGCAGUACCGGUAUCCGAGCUUGGUACCGGUACUCAACAACAGGUACCGGUACUCAGUAGUAGAUUUACGCAAACCCGAGAACAUCCAGUUCUGCUAACACACUGGGGUAUCGAUAUUUCUCCCUAGGUACCGGUACUCAACAUUGAAAUCUGCACUUUGUUGAUUUCAGUGUCAGAACUCCACUCUCGUAUCGCGCUGAGUCCGUUUUGCGUCCAUUUCGCGCCAAAACGACUCCGACUUGUCCCGGCACUUUCCCGACGUGUUGACAAGCCUCAGAUGCUGAAACCACACAUGUCGCUAAAUACCAGGGACACUAUAGAAAAUAGCCAAAAUACAGAGAAGGAAGAAAAUGCAAAAGUUAUACCAUUUAAAACUAAGUUGUACUAUUUGAGAUUAAAUUGCACUAUCUUUACUUUGUACAUGAAAGCAUUCAACUAAGUAUACUAAACCGUACACAUUAGCGCAGAGUAUACAUGUAUACAAGAUAUACAAUCCUAAUCACGCUCCUAAUUUUCCAUUGGGUAAGCUUAUGCGUAGCAACCCGUAAGCACCAUCAAAGACUCGGCUCCAUUCCUGACUCAAUUAAUAAUAUAAUACAAGUCAAUCCCUAACAAAUUAACUUUCAAUCUCUAUCUCCAUCUAAUUAAUAGGAUUUAGUCUUCAACCACUGCAACAAAUAUCAUUUUUAGUAGCUAUCGGAAAUUUUGAAAUUGCUGGCAAAAAAUCUUUUCCAAUAAAAAUUUCAAAGUAACCGCCAUCUUGAGAUUGUCUCUUUCACUUGACGAUUGUACCUAAUACACGGCUAAAAGUUUAAUGAUUGACAUCUGAGAUCUCAAGUUCGAAACCUAAUUGUUUCACAUUUUUAUAUUAGUUUCAUAAAACAAUAAUAAUGGUAAACGAUGUGAAUAGUUUUCUACCUUAUUCUCAAUAAAAAGAAUUUUCUCUUUCACUUGAUGAUACUGUUAAGGCUCCACCUUGCCUCCAAUUUUAGAACCUAUAACUGUUUCCACUUCUUUUGGAUUGGCGCUCGUAGCCAUUUUCAAAUAAAAAAAUUAGUCCAUAUAUAUAUAAAGAGUAGAGUUGCUAUACUAUCAGAAGAAUAGAGGAUCUAGUGUCUCCGACUUUUUGGCCAUUAGAUCAGCCCCUUUAAUCAUUUCUAACUUUUGGAUUAAUAUUAUUAUCCUGUUGGGAUACUACUCAACCCUAUGGGGGACGGCAAUCAUCACAACCGUAUAAUUUUUAAUUUAAGGGUCAAAAAAUUAAAAGUAUCAAAUCUUCUAUAAUUCUAAUAGUAUAGUAGCUCUACACUAUAUAUAUUUACAUACAUGCAUUACGUGCACAACUCAUCUCGCUAUCCCAAGUUUCAAUCUCAUCGUCUACUAAUUAUGUCAUCAUCUACUAAUUAUAGUUGUUUUUACUAUUUAAAAGUUAGAGGAUUAGAGGAGAAGUAUGGGACGGAACAGAGCACUCGUAGAAACAAAGUCUAGAAUGCAAUAAUUAUGUAAUGACGUGGUACCCCAAAUCAAAUAAAAAUCUUUUUUGAGGUUUACCUAUUCCAUCAUAAUUUUUAGAAAAAUAUUUUUAUUGUAUUUUUUUCUCUCGAAAGAAAAAAAAAAGUUUACUGGGAAUAGAUAAUAUUAUAUAAGUGUUACAUAGUAAAAUUUCUCCUCUCGUAGAGGGUGUGGUAUAACAUAUUAGAAUGCACUAGACAUUGGAAAUAAUUUUUGUUUAUUUAUUAAUUAAAAAAACAGUCAUAGCCCCCAAAUUCUAACAUGCUUUAAAUAGAAAGAUAUUGUACUCACAUUUUUAUUUUAUUUUCUCUCUAAAUUAAAUCCUACUUAGGCUUAGUUUGGUAUUGAGAUUUAUCUAACACUAUUAGAUAAAAUAAAGUUGAGGAAAAAGCAUAUAGGGAUAUGCUUCUACAUUCUCAGAUGAAACCGCAGAAAAUAUAUCGUAACCUAUUCAUCACGAUAUGCGGAACGCAAUAUUACGUACGAAAACAAACAGGGUAUUUUUCCAACGUACUUUCUCACCGCACGUGAUGCAAUUUUCUCGCAAUCCCAAAUAAAGCCUUAGUCCAAACUCUUCCAACACACUUUAAACACUUUGAAAUUCUUGCUUUUGAGCUUAUUCUUUCAAAUGACUUAUCUUUUACUCUUCCGAAAUUAUUUUUUUUAAAAUGGUUUCACCAGCUACGUACUCCUCGUCCGGAGUGCGUUUACGUGGCAUGGGUCUUAUAUGUUCCUUGCUAGAUAAGCCUAAGGGUGCGUUUGGUUCGCAUUAUAAAAGAUUACUAUAAAUAAAAGAUAUUCGAAAAUUUUAUUCCUAUUCAUCCUAUUACUAAGAAUGUGGAAUUCCUGUGUUUGGUUCGUACGGUAAUAUUAAUUAGCCAUGUUAUUUAAUAUUACAAAAAAUAUACAAUUAAUUUAUUUAUUUUUAAAUAAUGUUACCAAAAAGUUUCAACAUCUUUUUAGAAAAAAGGGAGAGAGAAUAAGUUAGAGAGAGGAGCAUAAUUAAAAAAAUAGAAAAAAAAUAUAUAAUCGAAAUUAGAGGGAGUGAGAGAGUUGAAAUUUUAAAAAGAGAGAGAGAGAGAAAGCUUAGUUUAGAGAGAGAAAAAAGAGUUAAAUUUUAGAGAAAAAAAUAAGUUUAGAGAGAGAUAUAAGGUUAGAGUGUAAAGAAAAAUAAUAUCAAUUAACCGGCGGGUAGGAAGAAAGAAAGAGAUUAGACAUAUUAUGAUUACCCUAAUCCAUUAAUAUGAGGAUAUCUUAUUCCCAAGUGAAUCUAAUAUUACCAACUAGAUUACUUAGUACGUUUAGCCAAACACCGUCAUAUUUUUUUAUUCCCAUUGGAUUAUUAGAAAUCUUUAAAAGAUAGCGCGAAUCAAACGCACCCUAAGUGGGAGAAUAUUGGACGUUGGUUUCACAAUUCAAAUUUGCCCAAUUUAAAACUACAUGGGAUUAAUUAGUGAGAUUGAAGAGAGAUUAGUACAAACGUGGGAUUUUCAGUGCUAUUUGUCGGAUCCAAAGAAGUAAAUAUUAAAUUGAAUAUACCGAGCAAUCACUUGAAUUUUAAAUAUACAUCUGUAGGCAUCAGAUACCACUUCUGAUUUUAUUGGUGUUAGGCAUGAUAUAUAUUUUUCCAACACUCCCCACUAUUUCGACCGUACUAAAUUCUCUAGCUAGAUCAAGCGCUCCAUUUUUUCAGUAAGGUCGUAAAAAUUUCUUCUUUUUUCAAAGUGUGCGAUUUGCAUGGCACAUUAUAUAAAUGAAAAGGAGCCCGAAUUAAACCCAUGUUUCCAACAACUUCCUCGAUCCCCCGCCGCCUCGAAGUUGGCAUUAUAUAAAUAGCUUCCGGAGUAAUUUUCUAUUAGAUCGACCAUUUGGUUUACAUAGUAUUCAGAGUCAAUUCUAAAUCCGUCAUGCAUGUCAAUGUCAAAUAUAUUCCUUUACCAUUUCGUGCUAGAUCGAUUCUUUAUUAGUUAGCAAUUGCCAUGUAGGUUCCAUUGGCUCAUAUAUAGAUAUUUUUCAAACCAUAGGAGGAGAAAACUCGGGUUAAGCCAACGCUGACCUAUUAAUAUAUAUGCUGCAGCUUCAUAUUUUGAAUGGAAUUUUCACUGGGAUCCCAGAUUUGAAGACAAUUUAGUCUUGUAGACAAAUUAAACACUCCGCAAAAAUUUCAGAUUGUUUUUUUUUUGAGAGAUAGGUAGCAUGCUACCCGCUUCGUUUAUUUCAUUUAGAAAUAAACUUAGUUGGAAAUGUGAAUCAACAAGGAUUCGAACUUGAGUCUCGGGUACCAACCACCAAGCCCUUUGCCAUUUGCUCUAGGGAUGGUCGGUAUAAAUUUCAGAUUGUUGGAAACAGUUGUAGUAUAAGAUCGAUCAACCUGCUGAAACAUCGGC
rnacentral:lncRNA from 1 species